GCUGCUGGAGCUUAUUAUGAGAAUCUGCCCGAUGAGGAGAAGAGAAAUGCCAGAUUUUCUUUCAAUGAAAUGGACAAAAACAAAGACGGGAAAAUUAACCUAGAUGAAUACGUGGAGUAUCUCAAGAAAGAUAACAACACGGUUCUUCCAAGCUUGUUUACAGCGCUGGACAAGGAUGGCAAUGGAACCUUGGAUUUUGAUGAAGCAAUCGUCUUGUACUACAUCAUGCAGAGUGGAAGGGCUAUAAUUUGCCAGUCUUGUAAGACGUUCUUGGCAGGAGCAUACUUCACUUGCUCUCAGUGUUUCUUCAAUGAUGAUGAUUCAGUUAGCACCUUUGAUGUUUGUUGUGAUUGUUAUGGUGGUAAAAAGUUCAGACACAACGAUGGGCACAUCUUCUGCGAUAACUAUACUUUACUUUGUCGAAGCAGGAGCGCGACACAAGCGGCCCCCAUUCAGGUAAUUAAUUUUAGAAACUAAAACAAUAAGAUAUUUUUACUAUUUAUUACUAUACAUUUGCCAAAAUUCACUGAUAACUCAUUGUUUAUGGAGCAUUACGUAUGGAGUUUCCUUCAACAUUGGGUUUUGUUUUAUUAUUAUAUUUCUUCUCUGCUUUACAUUUGAAUUCCCAUUCUUCGUAUUGAUUGAAGUUCUUUAAUUCUCUGGAUGAAGAGAUUAAUUAUAUUUUCAAGACUGGCUUCAAAAUAACUAGUGGAAUCCUCAUAUUUUCAUUAAUACAAAUAUUCUCUCCAUCUAAUUGAUAAAUAAAUACUAUAUUAAGUAUAAAAAUAUGUUUGCUUAUAAAAAUAUGAACUCAGCCUCUAAUAUAUCUGCGUAUUAUCUUUUAUUUCAGAAGCGAACCAAGGUGCUUAACAUCCUUAAAAAGGGACUGCAAGUUGCAGGCAUAACUAGUAGUGAUCUUGAAGGCAUAAGUACUGAUAUUGGUGAUGGUAUUGGUGAUGGUGAAGGUUCGUCAAAAUCUAACUGUAGCAUUAUGUGAAAGAAACCAAUGAUGCAUUUUAUCACCAGCCAAAUGCAUCCAAUCGUACAAUAAAUAUUGCCGAUGAGGUAAGAGGAAAUGACUGAAAAUUUACUGGAAACUCUUCAAGUGGGCUCAGAUCCAGUAGAGAAUAAACUCAAGUUACUUUAUAUUGCUGUAUCUUGUUUGUGGCAAUAAUUGUAUUCUCAUGCAUUCGAUCUCCAUAGUCUCAUGUGUACUUUUGGAGGGCAUUGAGAACUUGUUUAAUCUUAAGCUGCUUUUGUGUAAAAUAUCAUGUUGUUAAUGAAGCUUUUCUUGUAAAAUCAUUGAGCAUUAUCACAACUGAUUUCAUUGCAAGCAAGACGUUAUUAUGGUAUAUUUUAAAAUUAUAUAUGUUUGACUUGAAAAAAUAUUAAAUUUUUUUUUUUUAUGUUUUUUAAUAGUUUGUAUCUUUUGAUGUUAAAUUUUUUUUAAAAAAUCAUUCUAAUUAAUAUAUUAUAAUUAUUUUUCAAAAUCAUCUUAUAUCACAAUAUCAAACCCUCAUUUUUUAUUUUGUACAAGAGAAUACAAUCUCUUUAACGGUAACAAAAUAUUAAUUUUAUACAAUGAAAUUUAAUUGAAAAUUGAAGGAGCACCUAAGCAACCAUAUAAUAAUUUUAUACAACGAAAUUUAAUGCUUGUGUGGGUUAAUGACCAUGGUUUUAAAAGAUGAGUUCCUCUAGGCAUAGGCAAGAGGCUGGAUCCGGGUCAUGAUUCAUGAAUUAAGCGAGUUGACCCACAAGUGAACCGAUCAAAAGUAAAACAAUGAUGAGUUCCUCUGGGCAUAGCACCCCUAUUUUUUCAUUAUGUCGUUUGAAUUCCUACUUUUCUACUAACAAAUAAUGAAUAAUAGUUAUAUAAUCUCACCGUAAAACAAUUGUUUUAUGUAUAUUCAAAGUUUAAAGCUGCUGCUACUUCUACCAUCUUAAAUGUCAAUUUUUAACCCAUCUUUUUAUAAGUUUUCAAAAUAUUCAAAAAAUAACAAAAAAUUAAUAAAAACUCAAAAAAUAUAUUCAUUGUUUUUAGUAUUUUCAGUGUUAUUUUAAAAGAAAUUUAAAUUUUUAAAGAUCUUUUAAAUACGUUCGAGAUGUUGAUAUUGUUCAUUUUUAAAAUAAAAAAAAUAAUAAAAAAUCAAAAUUUAUAAAAAAGAAAUUAAAAAAAGUUUGAGAGAUCUAUUAAUAUUUACCUUUAAAUAUAGGUCGAUUUUGAAAAUUAGGGAAACACAAAGAAACUGUAAACCUAAACUCAUCUACAGACAAGCCACCACCCCCUCCCUUGAGCGAAAACCAGAGAAACCCCUGGCUUUGGGCUUUUGAAUUUUCGGCUUCUUCUCCCUUCAACCGGACAAGUAUUCCCCUUCCCUCUCCAUCCCCACAGACCCAACCAUCUCCUUCCCUUACUAGAUCUUCCCACUUGCCCUCCAUCUCUCCAGCCGUUCACCCUUUGGCCAAAUCGUCCUAUCCUUUCCCUCACCUAAAACAGCCACACGCCAGACCUUCUCCCUCUCAGGUGUUCUUCCCAUAGCCACCGAGAGCACCACCCCCAUCUCUUGGCCAAACCAGAGCUGCUGCUCACUGACAUAGGAGACCAACCCCACAGACGUCGUCUCCAGCGUCCCUCAUCCCUGCUAAUCCGAGACCCAUCUCUCUCUUCCUUGACCAGAAUCCAGUGGCAGCCAAAACAUAGCAGCUCUCACAGACCCGUGACCGUUCCCCGCGCCCAGGAGACACUUACUUCUCCUCCAUACCAAGGCCUUCAAGCACUGGCAGAUUCGUCCACUGCAACGGCCACCGUCACCGCCAGAUCUACAACCAUCAAAUCUGCCACCUAAAGAAGGAAAGAACAAUGAACCAAAAAAAGACAAAAAAGAAUAGAUCUGAAAAAAAGGAGAAAGAACCAAAAACUUUCUUGUGUUUUUCUUCUUUUGUAGAUGGCGAUGGCCCUCACCACCGAUAGGGAAGAGAAGAGAGGAGGGAGUCAUCCCAGAUCCACCCAUCUCUUGGGCUUUGCUUGCUGCGGUGUAUGAACCCACGUGCUGCUAGUGGCAAUAGCGAGUGAAGCAAGCACCCGCCACUGUUCCACGACUCGGAAAUUCCUAGCACUGUUACCGAUUUAUUUUGUCUAUUUUGUAAUAUUUUUUUUUUUUUUUUUUUUUGAUUUACGUGGGGUGUCCGGGCCAGCUUACGCGCACCACGACUAUUCCCCACGGCCCACUGGACAUCCUGCAAGCCCAGGAGCAGGUAAGGCACCGCGGGGGUGACAGGCGUGCACAUAGAGGGUCGAACCCGGGACGGGGGCGGAACAAGUCACACGAUUGACCACAGCAGCUAGACCCUCAAGUGCAAUAUUUUAAUUGUAUAUGUGUUGGUUGAUCUAUUUUGAAUUUUUAUUAUGUCCUAACAUGUAAUUAGGAAUAUGGGAGUAAAAAUAGUGAAAACUGACGUGUGGUGUUUGUACUUUCUUUUAUUUAUGUUUUUAAAUGAUAAAAACUAAAAGGAUAAAAAAAGAAUUAAAAAGAUAAAAAAUUAAAUGUUUUAAUUUGCAUAGAAUUUAGUUUAUAUUUUAGAAAAUAUUGUUUUCUUUUUGUAUUUAGGAUUAUGAUCUUAUAUUUAAGAUAUAUUUUUAAUAUUAAAAAAGUUUGUUUUGUUUUUUUGUGUUGAUGUUAGAAUUUUUUUAUCUGAUAAGUUAAGAAUCUUCUCAGUGAUGAGAACAUUUCUUCAACUUUAGAUAAAUCGUUGAUAAGACAACCGUCAAAACUUACAAAUCACAUCAAAUCAUGAAGCAACUUACCUUAGGUAGGGUGCGCUAGGGGUGCUAAUACCUUCUUUAGCCACAACCAGUCUCUUACUUGUGAAUCUCUACAAAGACCAGUACAUCUAGAUUUUCUAGUAACCCUGAACUAAAUACUAGUUAGAAACUCUCAAGAAUCAACAAAGAAAUGAACAAAAAUUGUUAUCGACGUCGCGCGGGCACGUGCGAUAGAAUGGCGACUCCACUGGGGAAGGUACUGUUUCUGACAAUAUUGGACUCAACUUUGUGUAUUUGAUGUGUUUAAGUUUUUGUAUUUUUGUCUUUUAUUAAUGUUUUUGUUUCCAUGUAUUUUAUAGAAAUGUCUCAUGCAUCACAUGUUUUUAUUUUUGAAAGCGUACACAAACUUUUAAGUUAGAUGGGGAGUUAGCGAUCUACCCUAUAACUAUUAGUCAGGGUUCAGAUACGUGAAACACUCAACUCGUAUUUAAGUGUCUGCUUAGUAAUGGUGGGUAUACGUGCCUUAACCAUUUCUCACAACGCCCCUAUAUUGUCUUUAUGAAGAUCAUCACUAGGCAGAUAUGAGACUCUUUUGAGACCAGGUAGAAACUUACCCAUGUUCACAUAAUGAAUAGAACUUGUCCUUAGGUUGCUAUCUUUACUUGCAUUAGGACAAACCUUUCUUGAAGCAUCUUGAACUCAAGACUUGUGAGUGACACAAUGAUCGUCACUCAAAAAAUUUUCAUUGUAGAGUUUGGGCAAGAAUCAAGAUUCUUGUUUCAUCAUGCAAGAGUUACGAUCAUAUGUCACCCCCUCGAAGGGCAAGUUCAUCAUAUGGAUUACAUGUUCAUAUAUUUAUUAUGCAUGCACCGAGAUUAAAAGUAGGUUCCCCCACCCGAGGUCUACUACACUAGACUGAGAAAAGUUAGAAAAUAAAGAAUGGGAUCCGAAAGAGGCUCAUUGUCUAAAGAAAAUUGAGAGUAUCAAAUGUGAAGAAGUUAGACUCCUUGAUCUGCUUAAACAAGUGUUGGGCUUUAAGAAUGGAAAGGGAAUGUUCACACAACCUCUUAGGGAAACACUGUUUGUCCGCAUCUCACACACAAAAACAUAAUUGACUUUUCUCCUCAGCACUCCACUAGUAGAGGCCAUUAACACUGAAGUGGCACCGACUCUUCUUCAUUUCAGUCAUGAACAACAACAACAAUGCCUUCAAUCAUCAACACAUAUUGUAAUUUGACCUCAUAACUUUAAUUUCUUUUAAUUAAAGCAUAAAUUGAUUUAAAAAUUAAUUUUUCUUGCAAUCAAACCCUCCAUAAAUUCAAUUAAAACUUUAAUAAAAUUUAAUUGAAUCCAUAAAUAUUUGGUUUUGAACUUUUCUUUCUCAAAUUGAAUUUUUUUUGUCAACAAAACUUUCAUCAGUAAAAAAUAUACUGUCAAAUUUCAAUCUUUGUAUUUCUGAACCUUCUCAAUAAUUUUUUGGUCAUUUUCUAGGCACUCUGGAAUCCUUUUUUCACUGCUAUUAUUUUUUUGAUUUUCUUUCGAAUAUAUUUUUUGAAUUUUUUGUAUUUUCUCUUUUUUGUGUGGUGUUAAAAAAUGCAUAACAACUUUCUUUAACGUCUAAAGCAGGUUUAUAUAAAUUAAAAGAAAAUGUCAGACCUAUUCCUGUCCUCAUCAGGGGACCACAACCUCAAAUCUCCAUCUCCAAAAUGACAGUGAGAUUGAUUGGUAAUAGGUAACAAAACGAUAAGCGUCUUUUCAUGAUAUAUUUAUAGUUUGGAUGUAUAAAUAUAAGUUCAAUAAGAGGUCUAGUUGAACAAAACAACAUGUCUUAUAAAAACAACUAUAUAAUUUUUUAUAUGAUCAUUGAAUCAUACACAAAUUUCACCAAGAAAAACUAUAGGCAUUGUUUUAUAAUGAGACUACAACAUGUUGGGUUGCAUGGUUUGACAGAUUUGUAGAUUGUAAAAGUCAAUGGCCUCUGGGCUUGAAGUAGUGUUAGAAGUUGCUGCUAAAUUUCCUAGAAAAUGCAAUUUCUUUAAUAUAUACGUAUAGAUAGCAAUAUGCAACACUAACGUAUCGAUAUGCAAAAUGAAAAGUGUUUUCUCAAGUUAAAAUGAGCAACACUUUCUCCACUCAAGAUCUUAUAUUUUUCUUUUCAGUGAAAAACACGUUCGGUUGAUUUAUUUGCCUUCUAGCCCAAUGACAUGCAAUAAUUUAAUUAGAUCUAAUUAACAUAUUAAAAUAAACUUUGUGUGGGAGUAAGCUUGUUUGCUAGUUGGGAUAACAUAUCAGAAAUUAAAUUUUAGUCCGUAUAAUUAUAUACCAAAAUUGAGACUUGACUUUUAUAAAUGCCAAAUUAAGUUGACUUGACGCAAAGAAACUACGAGACGGAAUCAUAGAUUAUAAUUAUGAGGUAUUCAUUCAAUUUAUAUCAACCACCAACUCAUAGGUAUAAUGCUUCCUCGGCAGGUUGAUACAAAUACAUCCAUUAUUUGGUAGAUUUAGCCAAACUGGAUUAGGACUGAGCCACUUCCUUAUAAAGUCCCUUUGGAGUUUUGAAGUUGUAGAUCUAAGCUACGUACCUCUUCCAUUAUCCUCCUCUAAAGUAUUACACGCAUAAAAGAUAUGGAGAGGAUUCGCCGGGUUGCUGUAGCUUAUUAUGAAAAUCUGCCCGAGGAGAAGAAGCGAUAUGCCAGAUUUAUUUUCGAUGAAAUGGACAAAAACAGAGACGGGCAAAUUGACCUAGAUGAAUACGUGGAGUAUCUCAAGAAACAUAACAACACAAUUUUUACUGAUCCAAGCAUGUUUAGAGCGCUGGACAAGGACGGCGAUGGAAGCUUGGAUUUUGAGGAAUCAAUCACCUUGUACUACAUCUUGCAGAGUGGAAGAGCUCUAUUUUGCGACUGUUGUCAUACGUUCUUGGCAGACGUAUACUUCAGCUGCUUUCAAUGUUUCUGUCUUCAUGAGUCAGCUAGCACCUAUGAUCUUUGUUGUGAUUGUUAUGGUGGAAAAAAGUUCAAUCACCACGAUGAUGCCAUUUUCUGGGAUAACUGUACUUUACUAAGUAAAAGCAGGAGCUUGGCACUAGGAGCUCCCAUAGAGGUAAUUAAUCUUUGAAAAUGAUAUCCAUGUUAGAUGAUGGCAAGCUAGAUAGAAAUACUACAAAUCUUGAAAGGUGUAACUCAAUUGGUUAGGUUAUAAAUUUGUUUUUUAGAAGUCACCGAUUCGAGUCCCACAAAUCUCGAAACCAUUAGAGAUUUACAUGGUCGUUAACUUCACAGCUCAUGGGAUUAGUCGAGAAGCACGUAAGCUGAUCCGGACAUCUACGUUAAUAAAAAAAUACUUUAGAUUGCUUAAAAUUUCCAAUUAAUACCUCUAAUUAUGUUUCUUUAAUUGUGGAUUUGGUUUGAAAUGGAUUUUUCUAGCAGAUUGCUUCUUCAUUAUUAGGAAUUGAUAUAUGUUCUUUCAUUAAAUUGAAAAAUUUGAGAGAAAUAAUAGGGUUUCAAAUCAAAUUUCGAAAAUUAUAGCUUUUUAACUUUUUUUACUUCUUUAAUUAUUUCCGAUUUUUUAGUGACGAUUUAUAUAAUUUUAUCAUAAUGAUACUUAUUUUUUUAAUUUUUUUAUUGGAAUAAUUUAAUCCAUUUAUUCAUUUUGUAACGUGAAUAAUUUAAUCAAUUAUUGGAUAUACGCACUUGCUCUUCUUCAUUAGGCAUUACCAUUGCAUAAAAAUUUAGUCUCGAGCAGGAUAAAAUAUUUUUGUAUAUAUAAUAUGAAUAAAUAAGUAUUUUUGUAAAUGUUUUUUUUAUGCGGUCAAUAGAGUGAUUUGCUUUUCUAUUUUUUUUUUAUAUAAAUUGUGUCAUUCUACAUUUCUUUUUUUAUGAAUUCUGCUUUUUUUAUUAGGAACUAUAUUUGUUAAGGUUUAUGUAUUUUUAUUAGUUAUGGGUCCACUUGUCUAUCAUUUAUGUAUACAAAAAUUAAUUAAUGAUAUAUUAGUGAAGAGUCUACUUGUCUAUCAUUUAUGUAUAUAAAAAUUAAUUAAUGAUAUAUUAGUUAAGAGUCUACUUGUCUAUCAUUUAUGUAUAUAAAAAUUAAUUAAUGAUAUUUUAGUUAAGAGUCCACUUAUCUAUCUUAAAAUUAUAUUGUUCCACUUGUGUUUCGGUAAGGUUUUUUUUGUUUAAUUUUCUUAAAUUAUAUACCACUUGUAAUUAAAAAUAUGUGCAUUGCCUAAUAAGAUCAUUAAUUAAAAAAUAAAACUAUAUCUAUAAAAAUUGAAAAAAAAAGAACAUUUGAAUUAAAAAACCAAAACCAAUAAAAAUUAUCAUCAAAUUAAAAUAAAAUAAAAACUUAGCAUUUUGUUAAGAAUAUUAUGCAUGAAAGUUUUUUUAAAAAAGAUAUAAUAUAUAUAUAUAUAUAAAGAAAACUAACAAAUACAUGUUAUUUUUAAGAAAAUAAUAACUCAUAUUUGUCCUUAUUUUCAUGUAAAACCUAAUUAUCUCAAACACGCAUCUAACCAAAAAAAUGCUAAAUUUUUCAUUCAUAAUUUUGUUGAUAAUGAUAUGUUUUGUUCCUGUAGUUUUUUUUUUUUUUUACUAGAUUUUUCACUUAUAGAAAAUUAUUUUAUGGAUUAUACCGUUCCACCAUAUGUUUUCUUAAGGUUUCUUUCCUUGUGUUAAUUAACCAUAAAAUGCUAAAGUUCUCUUUCAUAAUCUUAUUAAUAAAAUAUUUUUAUUAGAUAUUAAUAUUUAUUGGUAUUUUAUAAACUAAUAUUAAAUAUUCGAUUAAGGAGAGUAUUGGUAACUAAAUCUUUUAAUCAAUAAAAUGAAAAAAAAAAAAAAACAAACUAUGACAAUGUGCGUCGAUGUUCUAAACCAUUACAGGUAUCGGCCAAUUGAUCAAACAAGUGAUCCAAAUAGUUCGUUUCUAUAAAUUUAUUUGUCGGAUUUGAUAACGUCUUUCUAAUUAAAUUUCCAUAAAUAAAUAAAAUCAAAAAGUUUUCCAUAAUUGCAGCUUUUGAAACAUUUAAUGUCUUGUUGUCCUAAUCGUUGUAUGGCUUUUACUCUACAGCAUAGUGUUUGGAUGUAAUUUACCACAGGACAUUAGUUCCAAAUACCUAAUCAUGUGCUUCUUUAUCUUUACUUUCAGAAUCGAAGAAAUGUGCUUGAAAAAAUUGGAACGAUAGCGGACUUUACAGGCAUGGUUGUUAGUGGUGCUGUUUUUGCGUCAUCCUUUGGCUGCAGCAUUAUGUGAAAGAACGAAUAAUGCAUUUUAUUAUCACUGUGUUUAAAUUUUAUUAGAGUUUUGAAAGGGGUGGAACUCGAACCGCUUGCCUAUGGAAGACUGAGCUUUUCACGAGGUGCGAUCUUCAGCUAGUAAAGUAAGACUAUUAUAUUGCUGUGCCAAUGCUUGUGAUUUCUGAAAUUAUUGUAUGGUUACUUGUGGUUAUAUGGUUGCUUAUUGUUGCUUGCUUGUGAUUGGUGGAUUUGUAAGAGAUGAUCACUGUGAUUGGUGUAGAAAAUGGCCCUAAAUUUUCCAUUCAUAAUGAUAUAUAUGUUUUGUUCCUGUAGUCUUUUUUUUUUCACUUGUAGAAAAUUAUUUUAUGGAUUAUACCGUUCCACUAUAUGUUCUCUAAAGGUUUCUUUCCUCGUGUUCAAUUCUCAUAAAUCAUGCAAGACGUGUCAAAAAUAUAUAGCAUUACUUGAAAAUAUAUAUAUAUAUAUAUAGAAAACUAACAAAUACAUAUUAUUUUUAAGAAGAUACUAACUCAUAUUUGUCAUUAUUUUCCUGUAAAGCCUAUCUUAAAUAAAUAAUUAACCAUAAAAUGCUAAAUUUCCAUUCCAUAAUCAUUUUAAUAAAAUAGUUUUCAUUAGAUAUUAAUGUUUAUUGGUAUUUUCUAAACUAAUAUUAAAUAUUUGAUAAAGGAGAACAUUUGUAACUAAAUCUUUAAUCAAUAAAAUGAAAAAAAAAAACAACUAUGACGAAGUGUAUCGAUGUUUUGAACUGAUUAAUAGAAAUUCUAGCUUGUUUUUGCUUGAUAUAUAGUAAAAUAUACUUAGAGUUCGUUUGGUAAUGAGGUUGCAUCUGCGUUUUGUUUAAAACGCAGAUGCAACCUGUUUGGUAAAGGAAAAAACAUAGCUUACUGUUUAUUGGAACCACAUGUUUUUGCGUCCGAAACGCAGGGGAAGGAAAAGUAGCAAAAUGCUGCUUCUUGCGCACUGUUCAUGCUAAUUAAUUAGCAUGAACAGUGUAGCUAUGCUACACUGUUCACUGAACAGUGUAGCCAGCUCUACUGUUCCAGUCGGACCGGUUCUGGUUCAAAACUCAAAAUGCAUUGAACCAGGUCCGACCCAGUAAAAUAAAAUAUAAAAAUUAUUUUUUAUUUUUUAAUUGUGUUUUAUUCGAAAAACUAGUGUUUAACAUUAUUCAAUGACACUACAUAAAUUAGACAGAGAUCACUUGAUGACGUAGCAUUUGCAGAAUUUGAUCGCAAUCCCAAUUUUGUUCCUGAUUAUAUUUUACCUGAUGUUGUUGCGCGCUUAAGAAACCAAAAACAUUGUAGUCCUUGUCGGAUGUAUUUCAUGCGUGAUGGAAUUGUAGAUAGUUUAAUGGAACAAUAAAAAAUAUUUUAUAUAAAGUAUUAUUUAUUUCAUGAUGUAAUAACAAUAGUUAAAUCUACAAUAUUUAAAUUAAAAAUCAUCAAUAUUAAUAUAUAUUUUUUAAAAUUAUUUUAUAACCUCAAUUUCAAAAGCAUUAUUAACCAAACACAUUAAAUUACUUUUUGUUCAAUCUCAAUUUCAACCACAUUUUUAACCAAACAUACAUAAAUACCAAAUUAACCUCAACCAAAAGUACUUUUUAUAGAACAAUUUUUUUCAAACCAAACCAGCUAGAGGAAGCGAGAUAGCAUAAGCAAACCAGCCAACCCGCGUUCUGUUCUAUAAUUCCCUCUAACCUAGUGUUGUAGUAUACCCAGUAAUCCCAGGUGCUGGAGUUAUAAAAAAUGAAAGGAGAUAUGCACCUUUUUAAGGGAUUGUCUUGCUCAACCGAAAACAGAGAUAAGCUCGAGUGAUGUAAGUAGGUCUAUCAAGAGGGAUCGGUUUACGGUUCACGCAUGUUUCAGUCGAGAACUUCCUUUCCUGUGGAAAAUAGCUUCGACGAUUGGUCUUCUCAGAUAAUUCGAUCGGCGAGUAAGACUCCCUAUGUUAUGUGGGUGCAAUUUAUAAAGGAGUGCUUUCUCGCUAAAAGCACGACUCGCAGUGCUUGAACGUCUUGUGGCGGCUAAGGCAGCGUUAAGCCUUGGGAAUAGAAGUCAGUCAAGUCAAAAAGCCAGAAUGUCUUUCCUAUGGCAUCUGUCUUAUAAGCGCUCUUUUUUAACUUUCAGGGAAAGGCGGUUUGGUCGACCUUCACCACAACAGUUGCCACAAUACCAAACACAUUUUUAGUACAAACAACCCAAUAGUACAAGACUACAAGUAGUGGCCUAGGCCUAUUGAUCAAACCAGGGAUCCAAAUAGCUCGUUUCUAUAAAUUUAGUUGUGGGAUUUGAUAAAAUCUUUCUAAUUAAAUUUCCAUAUUUAAAAAAAAUUCUCAAAGUUUUCCAUAAUUGCAGCUUUUGAAUUUAAUGUCCUGUUGUCUUAAUCGCUAUGUGGCUUUUAUCAAAAAAAUCUUCUCAACUCAAUAGGUUAAGCUAUUAGGUGAGGUCCUAAGAUAUGAUUUAUAUUAUUCUCUAACGCACCCCUCAAGUUCAAGCCUUUUGGGUUUAAUACUUUUACAGGCUCAUACUAUCUUGUGCUUUAUUGUUAUCAAAUAAAAAGAAAUGAUGAGAUUUAAACUUGUGACCGCUUAGACAUUAAGACUCUGAUAUCAUGUGAAAGAACCAUCUCAACCCAAUAGCUUAAAUUAUUAGGUGAGAUUCUAAAAUAUAAUUUAUAUUAUUCUCUAACAGAUUUUACUCAUUAGCAUAGUGAUAAGAAGAAUACAUCAUAAUCGAAUUUGUUUUAUAGUUUGGGUGUUACCAAUUAGUCUCACGUAAUUUACGCAUAGCAGACAGGACAUUCGUUCCAAAUAUCUAAUCUUAUGCUUCUUUAUCUUUAAUUUCAGAAGCGAAGAAAUGUGCUUAAAAAAAAUUAGAAUGAUAGUGCAAGUUACAGGCAUAGUUGUUGGUAGUGCUUGUGUCUUGUAUCAUCCUCUAGCUGCAGCAUUAUGUGAAAAGAACGAAUGAUGCAUUUUAUUAUCACCUUGAAACUUGUAAAGGGUGAAACUUGAACCGCUUGACUAUGGAAGACUGUUAUUGAUGAAGUAAUGAAAAACUUCAGACUAGAUGGAGCUUUUCACAGGCUGCAAUCUUUGGCCAGUGAAGUGACCGACUUAGCACAGGUCCACGAGCUCUUCAUGCAAAACAAGAUUUCUAUCGAAAUGGGGGAUCUUAUGAUGUUUAAGUCAGUAAAAUAUAAGAGAGUAAAGAAUGUUGGAAAUUAUAUUUAUGAAUAUUAUGUAUUCUAAUGAUUAUUCAAUUUGUUGUACCGUUGCUUUAUUCCUUGGCAUGAGAGCUCAAUCUUCUUGAGAAAGAGAAACUUUAGCCAAGUCUAUAGAAGAAAGUCCACCGAGGAAGUUUUUGUCUCUUGUUGUGGUUAGAGGCCAGGUUGAAGUGAUGGAAGACUAUCCCCAUCAUUUUUAUUAACUCUCUAUUUUUAAGGGCUCUGUUCCUAAGGAAACAUCGGUGAGAGUCAGAAAUCCUGCAAAAAAAAAUAAAGUCAGAGGCAGUCGUACUCCCUCAAUUGGAGUUGAAGCAGAUUUUAACUUCUUUUAAAGUGAUUGCGAGCGUUGCCACCACUUUAAGAUAAGGAGGGUCUAUACCCCUGUGAAAUUCGAUGUUCCCAACUCAACUAUAGUGAUUCCUAUGAUGGCAUUUUCUCUGCCUCAACUUCCUUCCAGCUUUGCCGAUAAAGGCUGCAGUUGUUGAGCCCUCUACUUGAGUUGUUUAUGAGAAAACUAAGUUUGAGAUGCUUCUGCCAACCUCGAUCUUGUUCGAGCUCCCAUCACUUAAUUUCUCCAUCUUUAUUGAGAAGGAAAAGCUUAUAUCUCCAUUUUAUUAGACAUCUUAAUAAAAUUUUAUGAGAGCCUUAUUUGAUUUUAAUUAGUCAAAUUCCAAUGACAAAACAAGAAUUUUUAAAUAAAAAAACAUUUUAAAAAAAUUAUUAUAUAACUUCGAAACAGCCAGAGGAGAUCAUGUUCCUUAGACAAAUAGAACUUGGAUUUCCAUGACUCUAAUACAUGAACCGUAUUUCAUGUGGUGUGAUAUAGUGGAAUUAUUGAGGAGAAAUAAAUAAUUCAUGGGUAGGUGGAAUCAAAGAAAAGAUUCUCUCCAAAACCAAAUUUGUGGGGGCCUCUCAUAGUAGUAGUUGGGUUUCCUUGGGCUUUGACUCGCGGUUUCAGUGAACUACACUUACAGCUAUACAACUCCAAUUAAAAUAUUUGAUUUUCUCUAAAAUAUUACAAAAAAUAUUAUUAAAAAUAUAUUUUAUUUUCAUGCAUAUAACCAAGUCUCUCUAAAAUAAAAUAAAAAAUCAUAGCGUAUUCUCAUUCAACAAAAUUUCAAAUAUGUCUUAAGCAUGUAUUUUUUGCUUUAAUAACCAAUUCAUUAAAGUCAUGAAAACAAGGUCAAUAUUUCAAAAUUUUCAAAAACAUUAUUUUGUUUUCUUUUAAGCCUCGUUUGUUUGCUGGAAAGUAAUUUCUUUUUGUAAAGUAAAUUCCGGAGAAAGUGAAUUCCGGGAAAGUAUUUUCCGAUGUUUGAUAGUGUAAUGGAAAAUAAGUUGGAAAACACUUUCCAAUGUUUGGUUAUGUUAUGGAAAAUGAGCUAGAAAAUAACUUAUUAAUGUUUUAUUUUUUUCAAGUUUAUUAAAAUAAUGAGGAACAAAUCUUACAUAUUAAAAAGUUGAAUGGGAAUGAAAUUGAAAAAAAAUAUAAUUUCAUAAAUUAUCUCAGACAAGGUUGUCAAAAAUGCUUUUUUGACACGACACGGAACAUACAAUAUUAACUCGAAUCGUAAAAUCAUAAAAUCACAAGUAAAAUUUUUUAACUAAAAAUCGUAAAAUCACAGUUUAAUUAAUAAAUGAAGAGCAUGAAUGUUAAAUAUGCAUGUUAUAUCCUGCAGUUCAAUACACUUGAACACAAAUUAAUCAGACAUGCUAAUUGUGCAAGGACAAGAAAUUUAAUAAAUGUUGAGGCUGCCAACAACACCACAAUGCAAGCAACAACUAAAUUUCUCAAUUUUAAUAAAAACUUUUUGGUUACAAAUCUAGGUAACAAUUGACUUGUCUAAACGGGCAUGUGAAAUUUCCAUGGAAACUAGGUUACAGUACAACUCUUUUCACUAUAAAAAUAUAAAAAAACUGAACUAGUGUAAAGAUUGACAGAAAAGGAAAACACUAACAUCAUACCACAGGAAGUUGAACCUUAGUUUUAAGUUUUCCAAUUCUGCAAAACUAUGACAAGAAAUAUGAAAGGUGAAAGCAAUGGAUCAGGUUCUGUAUUGGAGGACGAAACAAAGCACGAAGAUCCACCAAGAAGGGAUUGUAAACUUCCUUCUCGCAACUCUUUUCUCAGUAUAGAAAAUGCUAAGUUAGCUCCCCCCCUUCUGCAGUCUCCUCUUACGCUGCACGUAAUCUCCAGUCAAGGAACUUCAACAGAUAAGUCAAUACAAACUAAUAGUUUGGACACCGUUAACCGGUAACUAACAAGAUAGAUUUUCACCCCUUUGAUGUUGAAAGUUUCCCAUGAGCCUAGAGAUUCACUAGACAGAUUUUCAGUUACCAACAUUACCUAGGUCACUUUUCCAUAUAAUUAACAUUUGAACUACAUAAACAUGCAUGUUUGGUUGUGUGUAAACCAAUCCAGACUAUGCAAAAAAACCAGAACCAAAAUGUUAAAUAUUAAGAGUCAAAUUUUGAGAUAAAAGGAUAUAUUAAAGAAGUUCCCAUGCUGCCCAGUAAUGUGAGUAACAAUGUUCAUCCCCACCCUUUUAGCACAAACUGGACAUACCUGAAAACAAACAAUUCCAGUAUCAUUUCAGUAACAGUCUCUAGACAAAAAAAAACUAGGAAAGUGUAAUUAAUAGUGUUCCAAAAAGAAAAUGACCAAUUUAUAUGCUCUAGGAUAAAAUAAAAAACCUUCAAAAACAAGGCGACAAACUCACACAGUUAACCAAAUUAUCUCAUUUAAAAUCAAACCCCAUAAAACCCUUUACCAAAAGCAAUUUAACACUAAAGAACUAAACUUUUUAAUUUACAUCCAUCAAUAGAACUCGAUAAGAAUAUGAUACCCCAUUCUUGGCUUCAGCAGGAUGCUCUUCAUGGAUGUGGCAAAAGAGACCAACAACAUCAAAAUCCUCGCCGCAAAAUGGACACAAAUACUCUGCUUUCAAAUCCUCUUCUGUUUUAGUCUCAUCAUACAGAUCUAGCACCACAAACCAACAAAAAAAUCCAAAAAAAAAGCAGCUUUCAAACACCAUCUCUUACUAAACUAAGGACAUUGCAAAAGAAAUGAAAGAUUUUAAACAAACCAGAUCCUAGUUCUUUCGUUCUUGGUUGUGAUGGUUCUUGCUUCUACGCAUUUAGAAAGGGAGGGAGAGAGAUAGAGAUGGCGAAUCCUUUAUCCUUUCAUAAAAACCAGAGUCAUCAGGUGGACAACAAAGGUCCCCUCAACAUGGUGGUGUUGGGUUCAAUUCAUGCUCCCUCAGCUCUCUCUCCACUCCAAAUGAUGAUCGUUUCUUCUUCAGAUAAUAAGAGCCUAGUUCUUGGAAGAUGAAGAACCAUAGCCUUUGGUUCCAGUGUUGUAGUACUGGUUUCCUUACUCAACUUGCACAACCCAAUUCGUGUCAAUUACGGGUGGGGAGGGGAUUGGGAAAAGGGGUGCUGAGUCAGCACAAGGCACAGGUUUUAAAUUUCAUGUGAAAUCGUGAAAUCAGACCGGUUUUUAUGUUUUUUACGGGUUGACCCGAUUUUAUGCGAGUUUGACCGGGUUUGAUCGAUUUUACCGGUUUUCGAGUUUUAAACCUGAUUUUACACGUUUUAUGCAUUUUGACUCGUAAAAUCAGCGAUUUUACGAGUCAAAACUAGUUUUUAACAACCAUGAUCUCAGAUAAAAUAAAUAAUAAUCAAAAUAAUAGCUUCGCUGGNNNNNNNNNNNNNNNNNNNNNNNNNNNNNNNNNNNNNNNNNNNNNNNNNNNNNNNNNNNNNNNNNNNNNNNNNNNNNNNNNNNNNNNNNNNNNNNNNNNNNNNNNNNNNNNNNNNNNNNNNNNNNNNNNNNNNNNNNNNNNNNNNNNNNNNNNNNNNNNNNNNNNNNNNNNNNNNNNNNNNNNNNNNNNNNNNNNNNNNNNNNNNNNNNNNNNNNNNNNNNNNNNNNNNNNNNNNNNNNNNNNNNNNNNNNNNNNNNNNNNNNNNNNNNNNNNNNNNNNNNNNNNNNNNNNNNNNNNNNNNNNNNNNNNNNNNNNNNNNNNNNNNNNNNNNNNNNNNNNNNNNNNNNNNNNNNNNNNNNNNNNNNNNNNNNNNNNNNNNNNNNNNNNNNNNNNNNNNNNNNNNNNNNNNNNNNNNNNNNNNNNNNNNNNNNNNNNNNNNNNNNNNNNNNNNNNNNNNNNNNNNNNNNNNNNNNNNNNNNNNNNNNNNNNNNNNNNNNNNNNNNNNNNNNNNNNNNNNNNNNNNNNNNNNNNNNNNNNNNNNNNNNNNNNNNNNNNNNNNNNNNNNNNNNNNNNNNNNNNNNNNNNNNNNNNNNNNNNNNNNNNNNNNNNNNNNNNNNNNNNNNNNNNNNNNNNNNNNNNNNNNNNNNNNNNNNNNNNNNNNNNNNNNNNNNNNNNNNNNNNNNNNNNNNNNNNNNNNNNNNNNNNNNNNNNNNNNNNNNNNNNNNNNNNNNNNNNNNNNNNNNNNNNNNNNNNNNNNNNNNNNNNNNNNNNNNNNNNNNNNNNNNNNNNNNNNNNNNNNNNNNNNNNNNNNNNNNNNNNNNNNNNNNNNNNNNNNNNNNNNNNNNNNNNNNNNNNNNNNNNNNNNNNNNNNNNNNNNNNNNNNNNNNNNNNNNNNNNNNNNNNNNNNNNNNNNNNNNNNNNNNNNNNNNNNNNNNNNNNNNNNNNNNNNNNNNNNNNNNNNNNNNNNNNNNNNNNNNNNNNNNNNNNNNNNNNNNNNNNNNNNNNNNNNNNNNNNNNNNNNNNNNNNNNNNNNNNNNNNNNNNNNNNNNNNNNNNNNNNNNNNNNNNNNNNNNNNNNNNNNNNNNNNNNNNNNNNNNNNNNNNNNNNNNNNNNNNNNNNNNNNNNNNNNNNNNNNNNNNNNNNNNNNNNNNNNNNNNNNNNNNNNNNNNNNNNNNNNNNNNNNNNNNNNNNNNNNNNNNNNNNNNNNNNNNNNNNNNNNNNNNNNNNNNNNNNNNNNNNNNNNNNNNNNNNNNNNNNNNNNNNNNNNNNNNNNNNNNNNNNNNNNNNNNNNNNNNNNNNNNNNNNNNNNNNNNNNNNNNNNNNNNNNNNNNNNNNNNNNNNNNNNNNNNNNNNNNNNNNNNNNNNNNNNNNNNNNNNNNNNNNNNNNNNNNNNNNNNNNNNNNNNNNNNNNNNNNNNNNNNNNNNNNNNNNNNNNNNNNNNNNNNNNNNNNNNNNNNNNNNNNNNNNNNNNNNNNNNNNNNNNNNNNNNNNNNNNNNNNNNNNNNNNNNNNNNNNNNNNNNNNNNNNNNNNNNNNNNNNNNNNNNNNNNNNNNNNNNNNNNNNNNNNNNNNNNNNNNNNNNNNNNNNNNNNNNNNNNNNNNNNNNNNNNNNNNNNNNNNNNNNNNNNNNNNNNNNNNNNNNNNNNNNNNNNNNNNNNNNNNNNNNNNNNNNNNNNNNNNNNNNNNNNNNNNNNNNNNNNNNNNNNNNNNNNNNNNNNNNNNNNNNNNNNNNNNNNNNNNNNNNNNNNNNNNNNNNNNNNNNNNNNNNNNNNNNNNNNNNNNNNNNNNNNNNNNNNNNNNNNNNNNNNNNNNNNNNNNNNNNNNNNNNNNNNNNNNNNNNNNNNNNNNNNNNNNNNNNNNNNNNNNNNNNNNNNNNNNNNNNNNNNNNNNNNNNNNNNNNNNNNNNNNNNNNNNNNNNNNNNNNNNNNNNNNNNNNNNNNNNNNNNNNNNNNNNNNNNNNNNNNNNNNNNNNNNNNNNNNNNNNNNNNNNNNNNNNNNNNNNNNNNNNNNNNNNNNNNNNNNNNNNNNNNNNNNNNNNNNNNNNNNNNNNNNNNNNNNNNNNNNNNNNNNNNNNNNNNNNNNNNNNNNNNNNNNNNNNNNNNNNNNNNNNNNNNNNNNNNNNNNNNNNNNNNNNNNNNNNNNNNNNNNNNNNNNNNNNNNNNNNNNNNNNNNNNNNNNNNNNNNNNNNNNNNNNNNNNNNNNNNNNNNNNNNNNNNNNNNNNNNNNNNNNNNNNNNNNNNNNNNNNNNNNNNNNNNNNNNNNNNNNNNNNNNNNNNNNNNNNNNNNNNNNNNNNNNNNNNNNNNNNNNNNNNNNNNNNNNNNNNNNNNNNNNNNNNNNNNNNNNNNNNNNNNNNNNNNNNNNNNNNNNNNNNNNNNNNNNNNNNNNNNNNNNNNNNNNNNNNNNNNNNNNNNNNNNNNNNNNNNNNNNNNNNNNNNNNNNNNNNNNNNNNNNNNNNNNNNNNNNNNNNNNNNNNNNNNNNNNNNNNNNNNNNNNNNNNNNNNNNNNNNNNNNNNNNNNNNNNNNNNNNNNNNNNNNNNNNNNNNNNNNNNNNNNNNNNNNNNNNNNNNNNNNNNNNNNNNNNNNNNNNNNNNNNNNNNNNNNNNNNNNNNNNNNNNNNNNNNNNUUCCUGAAAACCACUUUUCCGGAAAACAAACAUAGCCAAAAGAGAAAAUACUUUUCUGGAAACCAAGUAAAAUUUUUCUUUGACGGGAAACUGUUUUCCUUUAACAGGAAAGUGUUUUCCGUUGACCACCUUUCCUAAUGGCAAACAAACACAGGAAAGUUUGGAAAGUGAUUUCCGGGAAACAAACAUGGCCUUAAUAUCAAAGAUUAUAAACUUAUAUGUAAGAUGUAUUUCUAAUAUUAAAUAAGCGUUAGUUAUUCUUUUUGUUGAUAUUAGAACGAUUAUGUUUUAUCCAAUAAGAUAAGAAUCUCCUUACUGAGGAGGUCUUUUCUUAAACCUUAGACAUAUCAAUAAUUAGUAAACACGACAACACCUUAGUUUAUAUCAAACAAUCAAACAAUGCAGCUUACCUUAGGUACAACAUAUUUGGGGUACUAAUAUAUUUCCUUUACGCAACUAGUCCAAGUGUCUAGUCUUUGAAACCAGUUAGGAUUCAUAGUAACCAAAAACUAGGUGGUGACUCUCAUUCCCUCUUUCCACUAAUAAUAAACAAGAAUUUCUUGUCUACCUUAAUUUCCAGAUACUCAAAUCAAUAAAGUGGAAACAUUCACCGCGAUAUCGCACACAUGCAAUAAAAUUCAAACUAUAAAAUAAAAGGAGUAAUCAUUCAUCAAGUUCCAUUAACCUCUUUGUCAUGUGGCCGGAUUUGUUUGUUUGUUUGUUUUUCUGGGAUGCAGGCGACAUCUCUCCCACUAACUUUUCUAGCAUGUCCUAAAAUACUGUAUUGUUUUCCAUCCUCUCUGACAUGUCAUCAAAAGCAUUGCGAUUUCAUGAUUAUCUUUUUGGUGCACAUGCCAAUCAAGAUCAAUAACAAUCAAGGUUAAUAAAGAAACCAAAAGGUCACAAAUAAUAUUACUAUUAAUAAUAAUGAUAAUAGUUCUAUGCAUUUUUUAUUUUGAUCCUUGGUCUUGGAUUUAAGCGAUUUGACCCUGAAUUAACCAUUAAACUUUUAAUUUUUUUCAAUUUAACCCUAGAUUGCAAUCAAUUGGGUCUUUAUAGUUCGAUGUUUUUUGUAGAUUGGUAUUUGAAUGCGAAUUUCUUUAAUUUAACCCCUAAUUGACCCAAAACUUUGAUUUUCUUAUGAUUUUACCCCUGAUUUCAUCAAUUAACAUGGUAAAAAAUGAAUUUGGUCUUCUAAAAUUUCAUUCUUCUUAAUUAAGUUCAAAUUGAGCUCUCCAACUUAAUUUUUCACCAAUUAGGCCCUCAAUAACAUUAAUUUUAUUAGUCCCUGGAUGUGAAUUUCUUCAAUUUAACCCUAAUUGACCCUAAAACUUUGAUUUUCUUAUGAUUUUACCCCUGAUUUCAAUCAAUUAACAUGGUAAAAAAUGAAUUUGGUCUUCUAAAAUUUCAAUCUUCUUAAUUAAGUCCAAAUUGAGCUCUCAAACUUAAUUUUUCACCAAUUAAACCCUUAAUAAAAUUAAUUUGACCCAUUUACAGUAUAAUAAAAUCCCUGUACCUAAUUAAAUCCUUCAAUUGGAUCCAAAUUAAUUCUUAAACAUAAAAAAUUAUUUAAUUUGGCCCAUGAUUAAAUCUAAUUGGCAUAUUAAAAAACUAAUUAUGUCUUUGGACUUAGAAAUUAUGCAUAUUUGUCCAAUAAUGAUUUGAUUUGACCUUAAAUCUGCAUUGUCUCUCCAGGUUUGGGUAUAAUGAGCUACAAUUAGGCUUUCAAUUUGUCUAGAAUUGUAGCUUCAUCUUCCUAUAUAUUUGAAAUCCUUUCUAGCCUACUUUUUCAAGUCGGCAGUACUCUUCUUGCUUUCUUUACUUUAUAUUUUUAUUUUGGAAAGAAAAAAGAUGAAUUUAAGGCAUAAAUUGGUUGUUGUUGUUAUUAUUAUUAGCACAAUUAUUAUUAUUACUAAUUAAUAUCAUCACUAUCAUUAUUACUAUUAUUACUAUUAUUAUUAUUAUUAUUAUUAUUUAUUUCCUACAAUCAUUCAUCAAAUGCAAAUUAUAAAAUGAAAAAAAAAAGUACUCAUUCAUCAAGUUCCACUAACCUCUUUGCCAUGUGAAUGUGUUUGUUUUUUCUUUUCCGCGGGAUGCGGGCGACAUCACCCCCCACUAACUUAACUUUUCUAGCAUGUUCUAAGAAAUGAUGCAGUUCUUCAUCCUUUGUGACAUAUCAUCAAAAGUUGUGCAGUUUAUAUAGAUGAUAUGUAUCUUUUUAUGAUUAUCUUUUCGGUGCGAAAUGUUUAUCAAGAUAUUAAUAUUAUUAAUAAUAAUAUUAAAGGAUUGUGGUGCAGGAGAUUAUGAAGAUUUGACUAGUCAAAAUAUAAAAGAUAUAAUUAUAGAAUAAUAUAAGUCUAAGAAAAGAGACGGUCGAGUCAAAUGAUAUGUGUUAUAAAAACAACUAUAAUUUUUAACAGUGCUCAAGUCUCAUAAAUAAUACUUUAGGUCUUUUUUUAUAAUUUUAUAGUGGACAACAAGAAUUAUUGAGGAGAAAUAAAUAAUUCAUGGGGAAGUGGAAUCAAAGAAAAGAUAGUCUCCAAAACCAGAUUUGUGGGGGCCUCUCAUAGUAGUAGGCAGUAGCUGGGUUUCCUUGGGCUUUGGGUCGCGGCUUCAGCAUGAAGAGGGUGUUUGGUUUUAAAAUCAAAGACAAAUGAUGAUAUCAUGGUUUGAUGUGGCGGAGGGAGAUUGAGUGGGAUUUGGAAAGAUUGUGGAAGCGGGUACACUUGAUUUUUUUUCUCUUCUUCUUCUUUUUUUUUCUAUUUAGGAAAAUAUUAAACUUCAUAGAUGUGUAUAUUAAAACUCGGCCUAGUCGUCUUGCGGGUCUUUGAAUCUUAUUGAUUUGCUUCAACCGAUUCAGAUUGAAAAUAAUAAUAAUAAUAACUUGAACAAAAAUUUAAGAUUGAUGCAUUCACCAGGUCGAUAUGAUAGGUGGCUAGUAUGAGAAAAUGAAGAGAUAAGAUUGUUUGAGUUUUUUAUUGUUUUUAUUUUUUACUUUUUUACUUUUUUUAUUAGUUUAUAUUAUUUAAAAACAUGUUUGUGUGCAAUAAAAAAUAGUUUUUAAAGUGUAUUUUAUUUGUAAAUAAAUUAAUAUUUUUUUUAUUUUUAAAAUUUAAUUUUGAUAUGAAUAUAUUAAAACAAUUUAAAAAUAAUAAAUAAUAAAUAAUAAUAAAAUGAUAUUAUUUAAAAAAAAAUCUGAUUUAACUGAAUAAUACGAGAAUUAACCCAGCUCUCUAUUUCUUAGAUAUAAAUAUAGGUCAGAUCUUUCAGAUAUGCACCAAAUGACCAGAGGCAGGAUUUUAGAGUUAUCCGCUUCAUCAAAACUCCCUUCGCAGUCUUGAAAUUGUAGGCCAAAGCUACCUCGUCCAUUACCUUCUUAAACUCUCCUCCUCUUAAAUCUUACACCCAUAAAUAGAUAUGGAGGAGGUUCGCCGCGCUGCUGUAGCUUAUUAUGAGAAUCUGUCCGAGGAGAAGAAGCGAAAUGCCAGAUUUUCUUUCAAUGAAAUGGACAAAAACGGAGACGGGCGAAUUAAUCUACAUGAAUACUUGGAGUAUCUCAAGAAAGAUAACAACACGGUUCUUACUCAUCCAAGCUUGUUUACAGCGCUGGACAAGGACGGCAAUGGAAGCUUGGAUUUUGAGGAAACAAUCGUCUUGUACUACAUCAUGCAGAGUGGAAGAGCUCUAAUUUGCCAGUCUUGUAAUACGUUCUUGGCUGACGUAUACUUCAGUUGCUCUCAAUGUUUCUUCAAGGAUGAUUCAGAUAGCACCUAUGAAAUUUGUUGUGAUUGUUAUGGUGGAAAAAGGUUCACUCACCACGCUGAUGCCAUCUUCUGCGAUAACUAUACUUUACUCAGUCAAAGCAGGAGCUUGGCAGUAAAAGCUCCCGUACAGGUAAUUAAUCUUUGAAAAUGAUAUCAACUUCGAUCCCUGUUAGAUGAUGGCAUGCUAGAAAGAAAUACUUCAGAUUGCUUAAAAUUUUCAAUUUUUGAAACGAAUUAAUUAUGUUUCUUUUAUUGUGGAUUUGGUUUGAAUUGGGUUUUUCUAGCAGAUUGCUUCUUCAUUAUUAGGAAUUGAUAUAUGUUCUUUCAUUAAAUUGAAAAAAAAUGAGAGAAAUAACAGGAUUAAUCAACUAGUGAUACUUAUUUAUUUUUAUUUUUUUUCUAUCGGAAUAAUUUAAUCUAUUUUCCUUUUUUAUAAAUUUUUUCAUUCUACAAUUUUUAUUAUUUUUUCCAGAACUAUUUUUGUUAAUGUUUGUGUAUUUGUAUUAGUUAAGAGUCCACUUGUCUAUCAUUUAUGUAUAUAAAAUUAUUUUUGGAUUAUAUUGUUCCACUUAUGUUUCGUUAAGGUUUUUUGUGUUUAAUUUUCUUAAAUCAUAAAACACAUGUCAAGAAUAUGUGCUUUGCCUGAUAGGAUCAUUAAUUAAAAAAAUAAAACUAUAUUUAUAUGUAUAAAAAAAAGAAUAUUUGAAUUAAAAAACCCAAACAAAUAAAAAUUUAUCAUCAAAAUAAAAAAUAAACUUAGCAUUUUGUGAAGAAUAUUAAUUACACAUAAAAAAAGAAAUUAAAAAAGACACACACACACACACACACACAUAUAUAUAUAUAUAUAUAUAUAUGAAACUACAAAAUACAUGUUAUUUGUAGGAAAAUAAUAACUCAUAUUUGUCCUUAUUUUCAUGUAAAACCUAAUUAUCUCAAACACACAAUUAACCAUAAAAUGCUAAAUUUCUCAUUCAUAAUCAGAUUAAUAAAAAACUUUUUAGAUAUUAAUAUUUAUUGGUAUUUUCGAAAUUUGUUUUAUAGUUUGGAUGUUACCAAUUAGUUUCACAAAAUUUACCCAUAACAGAACAUUAGUUCCAAAUAUCUAAUCAUAUGCUUUGUUAUCUUUAAUUUCAGAAUCGAAGAAAUGUGCUUGAAAAAAUUGUAAUGAUAGUGGAAGUUACAAGCGUGGCUUUUGCUUUAGGCUGUAGCAUCAUGUGAAAGACGUAUGAUGCAUUUUAUCGUCAUUGUGUUUCAAUUUUAUUAGAAUUUUGUGAAGGGUGAAACUUGAAUUGCUUGCUUGUGGAAGACUAUUAUUGCUGAAGCAAUGAAAAACUUCAACUACAUUGAACUUUUCACGAGCUGUGAUCAUUAGCUAGUGUAUUAGGGGAAUAUUAUGUAUUCUAGCUGUUUGAACUCGUAGGAUUGUUAAAUGAUUGUUUGUGGCUUACUAAAUUUAUUGCAUAAGAGCUUGUGAUUCCUAGAAUUAUUGUAUGGUUGCUUGCUUGUGGUUGCUGGUCACUGCAAUUGGUGUAGAAAACGGCCUUGUUGUGCAUAGAAAAGGUUGGUUGUGCACUCACACUGACCAUGAAUCAAUAGCUGAUCAUUUCAUAUUUUUUUUUACCAUUAUAUAUAUUGUUUUUGUAUUGAUAAUUUAAAAAAAAAUAAAAAAAAAUUAGAAGAAAAGAAUAUAUAAGAGAAAAUCAAUACAUCAAAGACUUUUUUUCAGUGGGUAAAACAUAAUUCAAAAUAUAAUAAGGGCUAAUUUAGUUUAAAAAUAAUAAGUGCAAGGAAAAAAAAAGAGUAGAAAAAGCAAAAUUGUCUUAUCGGUCACGGGCACCAACGGCAUUUAAAGAAGUUUUGAAAGAUUACCACCUAAUAUCAACAAUAGGGGACAAGAAGCAAGUAGAGAUGCUUAUAAUGAGAAAUUGGAAGCAGCAUACAUUAAAUUCUCCCUAGUAUAAAGUCCCUUUGGGCAUCAAAUUCGAGAGGCACCGCAUUGUUAUUUUGUUUUUUUUUUUUUUUCUUUAAUCAUCAAAAACAGAUCCUUGCCCUUGCCGCAUUAUUCAAUGAGUUUUUCAUUUAAAAGAUCAUCAACUUGACAUGUCAUUGAAAGCUGUGCAAUUUGUUCAGAUGAUAUGUAUCUUUUUAUGAUUAUCUUUUUGGUGCAUAUACCAAUCAAAAUUAAUAAAGAAAUCAAAGGCCAUUAGUAAUAUUAUUGUUAAUAAUAAUGAUAAUAGUAGUACUAUUAUUAUUAACACUAUAUCCUUAUAUAUCUUUCAUGGACAUUAUAUCUUAUUUUCAAACUAAAUCUCUUUUAUUUAUAUUUUACACAAGCUAUUUAUAUCUAAAUCAUGCAUUUAUAAAAAUUUAUUUCUUGCAAUCAUUUAUUAAAUUCAAAUUAUAAAAUGAAAAAAAAAAAAAAAGGAGUAAUCGUUCAUCAAGUUCAACUAACUUUUCUGUCAUGUGAGCAUUUUUUUUUUCCUGUGAUGCAGGUGACAUCUCCCCCACUAACUUUUCUGGCAUGUUCUAAAAAACUGUGCAGUUUUCCAUCCUCUUUGACAUGUCAUUGAAAGCUGUGCAAUUUGUCCAGAUGAUAUGCAUCUUUUCAUGAUUAUCUUUUCGGUGCGCAUGCCAAUCAAGGUUAAUAAAGAAACCAAAGGCCAUUAGUAAUAUUACUGUUAAUAAUAAUGAUAAUAGUAGUACUAUUAUUAUUAACACUGUAUCCUUGCAUAUCUUUCAUGGACAUUAUAUCUUAUUUUCAAACUAAAUCUCUUUGAUUCAUAUUUUAAACAAGCCAUUUAUAUCUAAAUCAUGCAUUUAUAAAAAUUUAUUUCCUACAAUGAUUUAUCAAAUUCAAAUUAUAAAAUAAAAAAGUAAUCAUUCAUCAAGUUCCACUAACCUCUCUGUCAUGUGAGCGUGUUUGUUUGUUUUUUUCUAGGAUGCAGGCGACAUCUCCCUCACAAAAUUUUGCAGCUUUCAAUCCUCUUUGACAAGUCAUCGAAAGCUGUGCCGUUUCAUGAUUAUAUUUUUGGUGCAUAUGCCAAUCAAGUUCAAUAACAAUCAAGGUUAAUAAAGAAACCAAAGGUCAUUAGUAAUAUUACUUUUAAUAAUGAUGAUAAUAGUAGUUUUAUUAUUACUAACAAUGUAUCCUUGCAAAUCUUUCAUGGACAUUAUAUCUUAUUUUCAAACUAAGUCUUUCAACUAAAUCUCUUUGAUUCAUAUUUUAAACAAGUCAUUUAUAUAUAAAUCAUGCAUUUAUAAAAAUUUAUUUCUUGCAAUCAUUUAUCAAAUUCAAAUUAUAAAAUGAAAAAGAAAAGGAGUAAUUGUUCAUCAAGUUCAACUAACGUUUCUAUCAUGUGAGCAUGUUUGUUUUUUUAUUCCUGUGAUACAGAUGACAUCUCCCCCACUAACUUUUCUGGCAUGUUCUAAAAAACUGUGCAGUUUUCCAUCCUCUCUGACAUGUCAUCGAAAGCUGUGCAAUUUGUCCAAAUGAUAUGCAUCUUUUCAUGAUUAUCUUUUUGGUGCGCAUGCCAAUCAGGUCAAUAACAAUCACGGUUAAUAAAGAAACCAAAGGCCAUUAGUAAUAUUACUUUAAUAAUAAUGAUAAUAGUAGUACUAUUAUUAUUAACAAUGUAUCCUUGCAUAUCUUUCAUGGACAUUAUAUUUAAUUUUCAAACUAAAUCUCUUUGAUUCAUAUUUUACACAAGUUAUUAAUAUCUAAAUCCUGCAUUUAUAAAAAUUUAUUUCUUGCAAUCAUUUAUUAAAUUCAGAUUAUAAAAUGAAAAAAAAAAAGAAGUAAUCGUUCAUCAAGUUCAACUAACUUUUUUGUCAUGUGAGCAUGUUUUUUUUUUCCUGUAAUGCAGAUGACAUCUCCCCCCACUUACUUUUCUGGCAUGUUCUAAAAAAAUGUGAUUUUCUUGCAUGUUUUUCUAUCGAUUUUGUCAUGUAUUGGGUUGUAAUUUGACACUGUAAGAUACAAACUCGGUAUUAAAAUACCCUGUUUUCUUCGAAAUGUUGCAAAAAACAUUAUUAAAAAAACUUGUUUUGUUUUCAUGCAUACAGUCAAAUCUCUCUACGAUAAAAAAAAAUCAUAUCGUAUUCUCAUACAACAAAAUUUCAAAAUAUGUCUGAAGCAUGUAUUUUUUGCUUUAAUAACCAUUUCCUUAAAGCCACGAGAACUAGGUUAAUAUUUUAAAAUUUUCAAAAAAAAUAUUUUGUGUUCUUUUAAUAUCAGAUUUUAUUAACAUUAGAACGGUUAUGUUUUAUCUGAUAAGAUAAGAAUCUCCUUACCGAUAAUGACUUUUCUUAAAUCUUAGACAGACAAAUAAUUGGAAAACACAACAAUACCUUAGUUUAUAUCAGAUAAUCAAACAAUGCAGCUUACCUUAGGUACGAUGUAUUUGGAGUGCUAAUACCUUUUCUUUACGCAACCAGUCUUUGUACCCAAUCUUUAAAACCAGUUAAGGUUCCUGGUAACCAAAAACUAGGUGAUGACUAUCAUUCCCUCUUUCCACUAAUAACAAACAAGAAUUCCUUGUCUACCCUAUUUUCUAGAUACUCAAACCAAUAAAGUGGAAGCAUUCGUUGCGACGCCACACACAUGUGAUAAAAUUCAAACUAUAAAAUAAAAGGAGUAAUCAUUCAUCAAGUUCCACUAACCUCCCUGUCAUGUGGGCGUGUUUGUUUGUUUUUUCUUCCUGGGAUGCAGACGACAUCUCUCCCACUAACGUUUCUAUCAUGUCCUAAAAUACUGUGCAGUUCUCCAUCCUCUCUGACAUGUCAUCGAAAACUGUAUGGUUUCAUGAUUAUCUCUUUGGUGCACAUGCCAAUCAAGAUCAAUAACAAUCAAGGUCAAUAAAGAAACCAAAAGGUCAUUAGUAAAUUACUGUUAAUAAUAAUGAUAAUAGUUUGAUGCCUUUUUGAUUUUGGUCAUUGGUCUUGAAUUUAAGUGAUUUGACCUUAAUUGACCAUUAAACUUUUUAUUUUCUUUAAUUUAACCCUUGAUUGCAAUCAAUUAGGUCCCUAUAGUUUGAUGUCUUUUGCAGAUUGGUCUCUGGAUGCGAAUCUCUUCAAUUGACCCUAAAACUUUGAUUUUCUUAUGAUUUUACCCCUGAUUUCAAUCAAUUAACAUGGUAAAAAUUGAAUUUGGUCUUCUGAAAUUCCAACCUUCUUAAUUAAGUUCAAAUUGAGCUCUCAAACUUAAUUUUUCACCAAUUAAGCCCUUAAUAAAAUUAAUUUUAUUUGUCCUUGAAUGUGAAUUUCUUCAAUUUAACCCUUAAUUGACCCUAAACUUUGAUUUUCUUAUGAUUUUACCCCUGAUUUCAAUCAAUUAACAUGGUAAAAAAUGAAUUUGGUCUUCUAAAAUUUCAAUCUUCUUAAUUAGGUCCAAAUUGAGCUCUCAAACUUAAUUUUUCACCAAUUAAACCCUUAAUAAAAUUAAUUUGACCAAUUUACAGUAUAAUAAAAUCCUUGUACCUAAUUAAAUCCUUUAAUUGGAUCCAAAUUAAUUCUUAAACAUAAAAAAUCAUUUAAUUUGGCCCAUGAUUAAAUCUAAUUGGCCUAUUAAAAAUCUAAUUAUGUCUUUGGACUUAGAAAUUAUGCAUAUUUGUCCAAUAAUGAUUUGAUUUGACCUUGAAUCUGCAUUGUCUCUCCAAGUUUGGGUAUAAUGAGCUACAAUUAGGCUUCUAAUUUGUCUAGAAUUGCAGCUUGAUCUUCCUAUAUAUUUGAAAUCCUUUCUAGCCUACUUUUUCAAGUUGGCAGUCUUCUUGCUUUCUUUACUUUAUAUUUUUAUUUUGGAAAGAAAAAAUAUGAAUUUGAGGAAUGAUUCAAAAAUUGGUUGUUGUUGUUAUUAUUAUUAGCACAAUUAUUAUUAUUACUAAUUAAUAUCAUCACUAUUAUUAUUACUAUUAUUAUUAUUAUUAUUAUUAUUAUUAUUAUUAUUAUUUAUUUCCUACAAUCAUUCAUCAAAUGCAAAUUAUAAAAUGAAAAAAAAAAAAGUAAUCAUUCAUCAAGUUCCACUAACCUCUUUGCCAUGUGAACGUGUUUGUUUUUUCUUUUCCGUGGGAUGCGGGCGACAUCACCCCCCACUAACUUUUCUAGCAUGUUCUAAGAAAUGAUGCAGUUCUUCAUCCUUUGUGACAUAUCAUCAAAAGUUGUGCAGUUUAUAUAGAUGAUAUGUAUCUUUUCAUGAUUAUUUUUUCAGUGCGCAUAUUAAUCAAGUCAUUAAUAAUAUUAAAGGAUUGUGGUGCAGGAGAUUAUGAAGAUUUGACUAGUCAAAAUAUAAAAGAUAUAAUUAUAGAAUAAUAUAAGUCUAAGAAAAGAGACGGUCGAGUCAAAUGAUAUGUGUAAUAAAAACAACUAUAAUUUUUAACAGUGCUAAAGUCUCAUAAAUAAUACUUUAGGUCUUGUUUUAUAAUUUUAUAAUGGACUCCAAGAUGCUGGGUUGCAUGGUAUGAUUAGAUUUGUUUAUGGUAACAGUCAAUAGAAUUAUUGAGGAGAAAUAAAUAAUUCAAUUUAUGGGUAGGUGGAAUCAAAGAAAAGAUUCUCUCCAAAACCAAAUUUGUGGGGGCCUCUCAUAGUAGUAGCUGGGUUUCCUUGGGCUUUGAGUCGCGGCUUCAGUGAACUCCACUUACAGCUGUACAACUCCGACCAACCCGGCAGGUGAAUUUAGAAUCUUAUUGACUUGCUUCAACUGGUUCUGACUAAAAAAAAAAUUUAUAAUUUUUUUUAUUUAUUUUUAUUUAUUUUCUAUUAAAUUUUUUUGGUUAACUUAGAUAAAAAUCUAGAUUCAUCUAUUUAUCGAGUUGAUUUGAGCUUAACCUGUCUAAAAUCUGAUCAUUAACCCAUUAAUUUUUUAAAAUAUAAAACUAAUAUAAUAAUAUUUUUUUAAUUAUUAUUUUAAAAAAAAAUUAAGAUUUGACCCUUUCAAUUAAUAACCUAACUUUUAUAAGUAUAUUUUAUUCAAACCUGAUUAGUGAUGUUAAAAUAAAUAUAAUUAUAAUUCUGUUAUUUUUUUAUUUGUUUCGUACGAAAUAUUUUUUUAUUUCUAAAUAAAUUAAAGCUUUUUAGAAAAAAAAAAAAAAACUGCGCUGUCUUGGUUACUUACCUGUACUAUAAAUCACUGUCUAAUCAGAUGGAGACCAAAUUCUCUUCGGAGUGUUAAAAUUGUAAAUCUAAGAAGAAAACAGAUAUGGAGGGGAUUCGUAAGGCUGCUGAAGCUUAUUUUGAAAAUCAGUCCGAUAGGAAAAAGAAAAAGGCCAGAAAAACUUUCAAUGCCAUGGAUAAGAACGGAGACGGGAAAAUUAGCCUCCGUGAAUACACGGACCAUCUCACGAGAAAAAAAGCCACAAACUUCACUCAUCAGAACAUCUUCGGCGCGCUGGACAAGGACGGCAAUGGAAACUUGGAUUUUGAGGAAGCAAUCGUCUUGUUCUACCUCAUGCAGAGUGGAAGAGCUCUAAUUUGCAAGUCUUGUAAGACGUUCUUGGCAGGAGCAUACUUCAGUUGCUCUCAAUGUUUCUUCAAUGAUUCAGUUAGCACCUAUGAAAUUUGUUGUGAUUGUUAUGGUGGUAAAAAGUUCAGACACAACGAUGGGCACAUCUUCUGCGAUCACUAUACUUUACUACGUCAAAGCAGGAGUGCGAUACAAGCGGCCCCCAUAAGGGUAAUUUACUGAUUUGUUUACUAAUUACUAUACACUUGCCUAAAUUCACUGAUUACUCAUUGUUUCUGGAGCAUUAGGUUUUUUUUUUUUUGCAAUUUCAGCUGUCAUUUUUUUGUGUUGAGAUUUUCUUUUCUUUACAUGAUCUUUCUAAUUCAAACUGUCAUGAAAUUAAAUCAAAGAUCAAUUUAAUGAAAUAGAAUUUAAGGCUAGUCUUAAAAAAAUAAUAAAAACAAUGACGAAAUUUUUGUAAUUAGAACUGUGCUUUUAUUCAUUUUCUUUUGAAAAUCUUCAUUUUAGUCUACCUAAUUUAAUGAUUUUUAUUUAUAAUUCUGAACUUUAUUUUUUAAUAUUUCAAUUCUUUAGUGUUGAGAUAAGAGAAAAACUCGGUAAAAAAUAAAAAGGGAAUUGUAGUAACGAUGAGUGCCAUUUGAAUUCCCAUUUUUCGUAUUGAUUGAAGUUCUUUAAUUCUCUGAAUGAAGAGAUUAAUUAUAUUCUUAGGACUGGCUUCAAAAUAACUAAUAAUUCCCAUUUGAAUCCUCAUAUUUUCAUUGAUAAAAUUAUUCUCUCUGUCUAAUUAAUUAAUAAAUACCAUAAUAUGUUUUAAAAAAUGUUUGCGUAUAAAAAUAUGAACUCAGCCUUUACUAUAUGUGUAUUAUCUUUAAUUUCAGAAGCGAGAGAAGGUGCUUCAAUUCCUUAAAAAGGGACUGCUAGUUGCUAGUAUCAGUGCUGGUGUUGCUGAAUGCAUAUCUAAUGGUGAUGAUGAUGAUGAUUCAUCAAAAUUUAACUGUAGCAUUAUGUGAAAGAAACCAAUGAUGCAUUUUAUCACCAGUCAAAUGCUUCAUUCGUACUGUAAUUGCUGAUGAGGUAAGAACAAAUGACUUGAAACUCUUCAAGUGAAGCUCACAUGCAUCCAGUACGUAGAGAAUAAGCUCAAGUAACUUUUAUGGAGUUGUAUUUUUGUGUUGCAAUUGUAUUCUCAUGCAUUCGAUCUCCAUAUUCUCAUGUGUACUUUUGGAGGGCAUUGAGAAGUUGUUAGUUUAAUCUUAAGCUGCUAUUAUGUAAAAUCAUGUUGUUAAUGAAGCUUAUCUAGCGAAAUCAUUCAGCACCAUCACAAGUAUCAAGCUUAAAAAGUUUUCACUUGAAGAGAUAUGAGAUAUGUUAGAGAAUAAUAUAAAUCAUAAGACCUUACCUAGUAGAUUAAGAGUUGAGAUAAUUCUUUAAUAAAAUUAACUUUAAAUAGUUAUAUAGACAUGACUGUCGGAUGAGACAAGACACUCUAACUAGUUUUGCAUUCCAAUGUGUGUGUUUGAUUUAAAAAAACAUUAAAUUUAUGUUUUUAAUGCUUUUUAGUAAUCUUUAUAUGCUAAUAUAAAAACAAUUUGAAAAAAAAAUGAUAUAUUAAAAUCAUUUUAACAAAACUUCAUCACAUUCUCAGACACUCGAGCAACUGCUGUCAAAGGUGGAAGAUAAUCCACAAUGUUCUUUAAAACAAAACAGCACCGUUGGAUUAUCCCUAGCCCAAAUGGGGCUCACACACCUUUGCGCCAAUCCAACCCUUAAUUUUUUGAUAUCAUGCAAUAAACCCCUCUCAAUUAAACAUAAUUCUCGGGAGGACUUUUCUCAAUUUCAUCCCUAGAGAUUUCCAAUUGAACCCUCAACUUCCAGCGCCUCUUCCAACUUAUCCUUGGUUUUAAGAUUCAUCAAUUUGCCUAUUAAGUAGCCUUCAAACUUCUAGUAUCUUACAAUUUGAUCUUUAAUUUCACCCAAUUGAGUUUGAAAAAAUUAAAUUUAGCCAUGUAAAAUUUCAAUCUUCUCAAUUAAGCUCAAAUUCACAAUUAUUUUAAAUGAGAAUUAAAACAAAAUAUUUUAAAUUUUAAUACCUAAAUAAAUUGAGGUCUCUUCUUCCUACUAAAAAUAAAUAAAUAAAUAAACCCACAUGUACAUUUGAAUUUUAUAUUUUUCUCUUGGAAAAUUGUGCUAAUUGGUAUGUGAAUGUGGUCCACCUCUUAUCAUCCAAGAUUUGAAUUUUAAAAAAGAUUGUAAGAAAAUAUUUUAAAAAACAAAUUCAAGCAGGGACUUAGUCUCAAUGUAAAAAACUAAUUCAAAUAUAUUAUUACUUUUAAUGUUUAAAAACUAUAUAUUUAUAUGGAGUUGACUUUCAAGAAUUUUUAUUUUUUCCUCGAAGAGUCAAGAUAAACUAAUGGCUAUAUAUCAGUAGAAUUGCAUUCAAAUUUAAUUUAUCAUAUUGUUUUUAAAAUAUUCAAGAUGAUGUGAAUGCUUAUAGAAAACUUUUCAAUUUAAAAAACAAUAUAUAGAAAGUUGUUUCCAAAUUCUUAUUGUAAGAAAACACAAACCAGGUUUUAAUUCAUCUGAUUUUUCGUCUUUUUAUUUUUCGUUUUAAAACAAAGCUAAAAAAAACACUUUAUCUUUGAAAAACUAUGGUUAAUAAGCAUGCUUUUUUAAAAUUUUCAUGAAAGAUUCCCUUUUAUAAUAUAAAUAUAAAGUUACAAAUAGAAAUAAGAAAUAAGAAAUAAGAAAUAAUUUAAAAGUUGGUAUGAAAUAGGAAAUAUGGAUUGGAAUAUUUGAAUGCGGAGUAGCUGGGGUUGAAAUAUUUUUUGAUAAAUAUAUUAUUUUUAAUAAUUUGAUUGCAUUUAAGAAAUACGUUAGAAUACUAUUAUUAUUAUUUUUAUUGUUAUACAAAAAUUGGAACAUUUAUUUAAUCUAGAAAAUAAAGUUUUUUUUUUUGCAUGAUAUAGCGAGGUCAUUUUAAAAAUUAAUUUUUAUUUAGUUUUGUAGAAAUAAAGAAAUACUAGACAAAAAUUAAUGAUUUAAAUUUUAGAGUAAAAACUAUAUUUACAAAGAUCAAAUUAUCUCUUCUUAUUUAUGCAUUUAUUUAUUUGAUUUAAUAAUUUCAUGAUUUUUUUUAUCAAUAACAUUAUGUUUUGAAUAAGAAUUUAAAUAAAUUAAACUAAAACUAGAUAAGAAUUUAAUUUUUUAAAAUUUAUAAGAAAAAAUAUAUUUCUUUAGAUAAAAUUUCAUUUUUGUUACUCAUUUAUUUAUUUUUAUUUUUGUGGAAAUUUGUUUUUUAUCAAAAGCCUGGUUUUUCAUAUAAAAAUUUAUAAUGAUAUGUAAGUCGAUUUUCAACAAAGAAAUAAAAUUUUAUGAAAAACUAUGGUUAAUAAGCAUGCUUUUUUAAAAUUUUCAUGAAAGAUUCCCUUUUAUAAUAUAAAUAUAAAGUUACAAAUAGAAAUAAGAAGUAAGAAAUAAUUUAAAAGUUGGUAUGAAAUAGGAAAUAUGGAUUGGAAUAUUUGAAUGCGGAGUAGUCGGGGUUGAAAUAUGUUUUGAUAAAUAUAUUAUUUUUAAUAAUUUGAUUGCAUUUAAGAAAUACGAUAGAAUACUAUUAUUAUUAUUUUUAUUAUUAUACAAAAAUUGGAACAUUUAUUUAAUCUAGAAAAUAAAGUUUUUUUUUUUGCACGAUAUAGCGAGGUCAUUUUAAAAAUUAAUUUUUAUUUAGUUUUGUAGAAAUAAAGAAAUACUAGACAAAAAUUAAUGAUUUAAAUUUUAGAGUAAAAACUAUAUUUACAAAGAUCAAAUUAUCUCUUCUUAUUUAUGCAUUUAUUUAUUUGAUUUAAUAAUUUCAUGAUUUUUUUUAUCAAUAACAUUAUGUUUUGAAUAAGAAUUUAAAUAAAUUAAACUAAAACUAGAUAAGAAUUUAAUUUUUUAAAAUUUAUAAGAAAAAAUAUAUUUCUUUAGAUAAAAUUUCAUUUUUGUUACUCAUUUAUUUAUUUUUAUUUUUGUGGAAAUUUGUUUUUUAUCAAAAGCCUGGUUUUUCAUAUAAAAAUUUAUAAUGAUAUGUAAGUCGAUUUUCAACAAAGAAAUAAAAUUUUAUGCAAAUCAAUAAAAUAAUAAUUAAUUCAAUAUAAAAAAAUUGAUAAUAAAAUAUAUUUUUAUUGAAUAUUUAUGCGUAUGUUAACAAUAUUAUGGAUAUUAGUUUAAUAUAUAAUUAUCAAAACAAUUAUAAAUAUAACCAUAAAAAUUUCUAAAAUAAUUUUUAAAUAUCAUUAUUGAAUAAUUUUUGAAACAUGAGCAAAAGUAUUUGUUUAAAGAAGAUUUUAUUUUAAAAUAUAAAGAUUUUAUAUAAACAAAAUAGAAGGUAAGAGCGAAGAGAGGCCAUAUAGGUAUGGGUAUGGCCUACACUACUAAGCUCGAAAACAUUGACAAGUAUUUUUAAUAAACAAAUAAUAUAUUGUCUGUCUAGAUAAAUAAUGUAUUGUCUGUCAUAACAAAUUUUAGUAAUCGGAGAUGGUUAAAAAAUUGAGUUUUUGGGAUAUUUGGACCUGAAAAACCUUAAAUUUCAACUUAUUUUUAUCUAAAAGUAUCUUAUUACAAUACUUAAAAACUCCAUUAAAAGCCCUAAAACACUCACUAAUGAAUCUAAAAACUGAAAAACAAACUGAAUAAAAAAAAUUAGUUAUGAAUUGUGAUUGCUAGCAUGAGUAAAGAUCAAAACCAUUAAAUGAAUACCAUUUGUAGCUAGUUAAUUUUCUUUCCUCUCUUAAUAUUCAAGAAUUGAAAAAUAAUAAAAAUAAAAUUUAGAACCAAAAUAUAAAUAUGUACAACUAAAAAAAAAAUGAAGGGACAAAUUAUACUUUUAGGGAUAAUUACAAAAACGAUCUUUUAUAGUUUGAUCAUGUUUACUUGUUGUAUUUGGAGAUAUUAUACUUUACAUCAUAGGUUUUAUAUGUUAAAUAGAAGUUUACAUCCUCAACCUCGCUAGCAAAAGUUUUUUAAAAAGAUGUAUGAAUUUUUAUAAGUUUUUCAUUAUAUUCAAUUUAAUGACUAAAGAACUCCUAAAGCCUCAAAAUAAUAAAAUUGUCAUCCAUUUUACCAUUGCUAUAAAUUAAAAAACAAAUAUUAUUACCUACAUUCAAUUUAAUUACAAAAAUGCAAUCAAAACAUGUUUAUAACAAGAUUGCUUCCUUUUCCAUAACCAUUUGGUGUAAACCUAUAAACGCAGUUUUUAAUGAUUUUUCAUGAAUACUAGAUGAAUUGAAGAAAAUAAAAGAUGAAGUAGGAACAAUUUGGAUCAAAAAUCACAAUAUAGAUGCCACUUUUACAAGUAUUGAGUUGUUGUUGAUAAGUAUUUUAGUAUGUGUGGUGUUAUUGUUCCUAACUAUGAUCUUUCUCGUGUUCAACAAAUGAAACAUAUGUAUUCUCUUUUUAACAAAAUGCAAGAAACAUUAAUAUAUUAUAUAGAAAAAGCAUGCACAUCAAGGUAAUAAAUAUCCAAAAUUUAAACAUGUCAUUACAUCCACAUUGAUCCAUGAUAUUCAAGCUCUUGUUGCUUUAAGAAUAAAAAAAUGAGCACAUAAAACAAACACAUGUGAUUUCAUGGCCAUAUUGAUCUCAAUGCAUGGUAUUUGGGUAUACUGUUAAGAAGGGAAAAUGUCAGCACCAAUCUACAAUUUUAAAAAAAAAUCAUUGUUUAAUAAUUGCAUAAUUUAUAAACUAAUUGGACUAAACUUGAAUAUUAUGAAGGACCAACAUGUGUUCGUGUGUGUGUGUGGAGGAUGAACCGAUCCUACUUUUAUCACCUCUUGAACCUCUGUCAGCCAAUCUUCCACCUCUGUUAAGCCCUCUUCCACCUCUAGCAACCCUUCUUUCCACUUUGGCAAUUUCUCUUCCACUAGAUUUCAUAGCAACCUCAGCUCUUUCCUUUUUGAAAUUACCACUUUCAGCUCUCUAAUCAUCAUUCAAUCCUCUAAUUUGUUCACUAUUAUCUCUUUGGCAGAUCUCUAAAUUGUGGUCAUAUUGCUUACAAAUAUUGAACGUAACUGUGGUUGCCUUUUUUUCUUAUAUUAGAAUGUUGAUCUUCUCCUAGUUUCUUUUGUCUAUUUUUUCUCAGUCUCCUAACACUUCUUUUAAGGUUUGGAGGUAAAACAAUGAAAUCAUUUUCUUUAAGAUCUAAAUCAACUUCUUGUAAUGGGUGAACUGUUUGAAAGUAAAACAAUAUUGUUAUAGCACUUUUUUUUUUAUCAUGUCGUUUCAAUUCCUUCUUUUCUACUCCUCAACAAAACAAAUAAUGAAUAGUAGUGAUAUAAUAUCACUUUUGUCUAUUUUGUUUUAUGUAAAAUCAAAGCUUAAAGUUGCUGCUAAUUCUUCCUUUUUAAAGGCUAUGCUAAUUUUGGACUAAAAAAUUAACAAAUACAAUAGAAUUACUGAUGAAAAUACCCCGUUGAUGAAAAUAGUAAUAUUACAUAUCCAUUGGACAUUACUGACUUGAAUAGAGAUGAAAUAUGUGUCAUAAAUAAUUGAAAAAUCAAACCGACGUUGAAUAAAGAUGAAGUAUGUGUCGUAAAUAACCAUCUAGGUGGUAGUCCAGUGGUAAGAGCUUGGGACCAAGAGGUUUGCUCCCUCUGUGGUCUCAGGUUCGAGCCCUGUGGUUGCUCAUAUGAUGGCCACUGGAGGCUUAUAUGGUCGUUAACUUCAGGGCCCGUGGGAUUAGUCGAGGUGCGCGCAAGCUGACCCGGACACCCACGUUAAACUAAAAAGUAUGUGUCGUAAAUAAUUAAAAACUCAAUAAAUAUUUCAUUGGCAUGUAGUGAUUUACCUGGACAGAUAGUGGGUUUUAUCAAUAAUAUUGUGGUUACAUUCAUUGCUGCCGUCAAUUGUCACUACGGAGAAGUUGGAGGAUGAUACCAGGAUAAUAGCAACAAUUCACUCACAUAAAGGAUAGUGUAGUAUAUGCUGUAGUAUAUGCUCACCACUAUGUACAAAACCAAAGAUAUAUAUACACACAAACAAAUAACCCGUCACUUUAAAGAUACAUAUUUUCUCAUCACUUUAGAAAUACAAAAAAAUAUUUAGUACACGAUUCAAAUGAUAAUCAGAUACUUGGAACAAGUGUAGAGAAAAAACAAAAAUGAUAUAAUUGAGAUCACAAUAAAUAACUUUGACACAAAUCUAGAAAAAUAAUCAUAGUUGUCAAACCCGGUCUUGGGGUCGAUCUAAGAAAAUAAAAAAAAUUGUUUUGGGUUUCAAUAUCCCUAAUAAAAAAUUUAAGAAACGGUCUAUAUGGAUGUAGGCUAUACAUGUUUUAAAUAAUUAAAUUUAAAAGAUUAUUUCAAAAUAUUUUUUAUCCUAUAUUGUAACUUUUAAGUUGAAGUAUUUAAACAAAAAAGUUUCGUACACAAAAUUGGAAAAGCACAUCUUUCUUAUUGUGAACAUGAAGUAUAUAUACUAAUGGGCUUCAAAUCUCAUAUUAGAAAAAUAAAAGCCUUUUCUAGUGUUUAUAUAGUGAACUUUGAUAUGAGCGUAACCAACAAGAAAAUGGUGGUAGACUCGUGCGCAUAAGGUUGGGUCGAGCUAGUGUAAAACCUCUGAUCUCCCCCAUGUGCGCGAAGCAACGCCUAUACUAUCUGAACCUUCCAUUUUGUUCUUACCUCUCCUAAUUGAUUUAAUGUUUUUCACCUUUUUAUACAAUUGGGAUCAUUUAAACAAUAUCCACUAGGGAAGUUUUGUUUUUUAUAGUAUUGGACUAAGCUUUGUGUGUUUUAUGUGGUUUAUGCAAUUUGAUGUGUUUAAAUUUUUGCAUUUGGCUUAUUUCUUUAUUUUAUUUUAUUUACUCUUUAGCAUAUUUUAUCUUGUCCAUGCAUGUAUGUUGGAUACAAAUGAAUGUCUUCAUGCAUCAUUAGUUUAUUUGUGAUAGAUCGCUUCAGAAUGCAUACACAUGGAAAUUUUAGGCUAACUGAGGGACUAAUAGCUUACCUUAUAACAUUUAGUUUGUGUGUUUCCAACUCUUCACUGAGUGUUUAGACUGGUAAUGAUUGGUAUACAUGCUAUUUUAUUACCUACUAAGCCCCCAUAUUGUCUUUAUAAGGGUGAUCACUAGAACAACAAACCCUUUUAAGAGACCAAGCCAAGUAGUAAAUCUACCACCUGUCUCACGUAAAAGGAUUAAAACCUACAUUUAUGGUGUAUUGUAAUCACCCAACAAAACAAAAGUAAAGCCAGAAAUGACUCCACCGUAGUUGCAAAUUUCUAAAGUGGAAAUGACACGGUUUUCGUUACUGGUUCCCGAAUCGGCAGCGACACAGUUUUCGUUGCCGGUUUCUGAAUACGUAGCGCGUCAUAGUUUUCGUUGCUGAUUUUUUAGUCGGCAAGAACACAGUUUUCGUUGUUGAUUUUUGAAUCGGUAGCGCAUCACAAUUUUUAUUGUCGAUUUAUGAGUCGACAGUGACACGGUUUUUGUUGUUGAUUCUUGAAUCAACAGCGCAUCAUAGUUUUUGUUAUCGGUUCUGGAAUCGGCAAUGACACAGUUUUCGUUGCUGAUUUCUAAGUCGACAGUGACACAAUUUUCGUUGCUGAUUUCUGAAUCGACAGUGUGUCACAACUUUCAUUGUCGAUUUCUGAGUCGGAAUGACACAGUUUUCAUUGUUGAUUUUUUAGUCGGCAGCGACACAAUUUUUUUUACUAUUUCUGAGUCAACGACGGCUGCGUGUGCCGAUGAAUCCAUGCGUUUUGUAAAACCUAACAAAAAACUUAGUUCUUUGUUAUGUAAAACCCGAUGAAUUUUAUCUUUGGCCGAUCUAUAUUACCAAAAACUUAGUCAAUUAGGUGUUCAAUCAAAGGUUUAAAGUGAAAAGAAAAACCUAGAAAGAUCCUUCAUCUCAACCUCUAAGAGCAAAAAUCUCUGAUAGCAUAACUCAUGAUGGAAGAAUAGUAAAAGAAGAUGAAGGGGCAUAAGUGAUCCUAGACCUAUCAAAACCCUCAAACACCAUUUGAACCUGUGAAUUUCUUUUCUUUGGUAGCCAUGCAACUCAGCCUCCAUUAUGUGCUUUGAAAAGUUAAUUCUAAUCAAGCAAAAGGGAAAGAUUGAUAAAUAACGCUCUCUAAACUUAAAAAAUCAUUUAUGAGAGUCAUGAUGAAAUGGACAACUAUACAUUUUUGUUCACAUUGAGAAAAUCCAAACACAAGACUUCAAAUGAGUAUUUGAUCCUUCUUGAACCCAAUGCAAAAUAGGUUAUCUCCUAAACCAAUCCCCAUGAUGAAAUACCUUUCUUUAAAGACCGAUACAAAUCAUGAAAGUUAUAUGAACAUUAUUAUUUGACCUGUUUUUGAAUGGACAGGUCGCCCAUAAAAAUAAACUAGUGUUUGAAUUUCAAAAUGGGUAGGUUGCUCAUGAAAAUAUUCUAGUUUUUGAAUUUGAAAAGGGUAGGUCGUUCGUGAAAAUAUACCAGUUUUUUAAUGGACAGGUCGGCCGUGAAAAUAAAUCAGUGUUUUAAUUUCAAAAUGGACAGAUCGCUCAUGAUAAUAUACUAGUAUUUUAAAAACAAAAUUCAAAAAAGGGAGGUAGGUUGUCAUAGCCCAAAUUUUGGUUUUUGCUUUUUUUUUUUAUAUGAAAAAAAUUAAAAUUCAGGUCGAGACAACACAAGUUAGAAGUUUUUAGGGUUUAAUCAUGGUGGAAUUUUGACUUUAGAAGUUAAUUUUGAAAGAAUUAACAAGUCUGUGGUUUCGAUUAAACUUUGAUUCAGUUUAAUUAAUGACAUCAAGAGUUUAAUUGAAGAAUUAAUAAGUUUGGGGACUUAAUUGAGCUUAGAAUUAGUUUAAUUAAUAAAAUCAGGGGUAUAAUUGAAAAAAUAUUAAAUUCUAAACUAAUUUAAGUCAAAAUCGCAAGAAAUUAAAGUUCAAUGACCAAAAUACAAAGACGGGGUACUGUAGGGAGCUUAAUUGAUUUAUUCCAAGGGUAAUUUUGAAAAAAUUAAAAGUUAAAAAGUCAAUUAGGGAUUAAAUCGAUUUAAAAUUGAAGUCAAGGACCGUUUUGGAAAAGACACCAAGAUCCUGGGGUCUAAUCAUAGUUUUCCCAGGGGGCCUGUUUAAAGAAUUCCAAAAGUUCAAGGACCAAAUUGAAAAUGGUCAUCCCAGUCCAACACGACGCCGUUUCAAACAUGCACUGUUCUUCUUCCUUCUCUGACGCUGAAAGUCCACCUGCAAAGAAGGAAAGGAAAUUAUGAAAUGCCGGCACCCCAGUCCAACCAAAACACAAAUUGCAAAUCCUAUCUUCACGAAGAUUACAACCCUGGGGAGAUAAGGAUGAGAUUUCAUGCCCUCGUGCUUAUAAAAGGGAAGAACAGGGGAGAUCGCAGGGGGAGAAAAAAAAGGAGAAAAAGCUGGGAAAACAAAAGGAAGAACACUAGCCAAAAGCCUAAGAAACGGAGACCAGAAAUAUGACUUAACAACUUAGAAUCCAGACGAAAAAACAAAAAACCCAGAACACAGACGCAAAAAACAAUGAAAAGAAAAAACAGAGAAAAGAAAGGAACAGAGAAGGUAGGGAAAAAAAAUAAAACAGAAGCCAAAGAAAAGAAGAGAUAAAAGAAGAGGGAAGGAGCAGGAGCAGGACAGGACAGAAGCAGCCCGAGCGACAAGCGACUCCACGCCUUUGCCGCCAGCACAGGUAAGCUUCUUCCUCCCCACUCUUCUUGCAAAUUUAAUUAACUCCUCACUGUACACGCGUGAUCCUCGCGUGACUACUGCCUGGACCGGUUUCUGGUCUGUACCAGUAACAUGGCCGGGACUGCUUAGCUAUACCCAGCCCAACAUAAAAAAAGAGUAGUCUGGGCCUCAAGCCUAGCCAGCCAGACAGACUAUGCUUUGGUAAAACACACUCUUAUGUCUUAUUCAUAUAUUUUAUUCCCUUUUUAUUAUGAUAUUUAUCCAAAUGAGUCCCAUUUAAAUAUUAGAAAAUUUCAAAAAUAUUUUAGGAUCUCAUUGAUUUAUUUGUGAGCCCGUCGCGCUUUCUUUAUAUUUUUUCUUUGUGUUUUUUUUUUUUUUGCUCUAUGUUUUGUGGACCAAUACUGUUAAAUGCAAAUUUGCUGUGUAAUUUUUCUUUUUUAGGCUUGUCUAAAAAGAGUAAAUAAUUAAAAGGGAAAAAAAAAGGAAAAGCCAUAGAAAAUUUAUUACUCCUUAAACAUUUCAAAAUUUUGUGAACUUAUUUAUUGGUGUUAGAGUCAGGAAUAUCAUAUUCUUUUGGGUUUGUGCAAUAUUUACCAAUACCAGAGUUGAAAAUAUUCAUAGGUAUUGUUCAUUGAUGCUAGAGUCAGGAAUAUGAUAAGAAAUAAAAAAAAGGGAAAGUACAACUCUUUGCAAUUUUAGAGAAAACCAGCAAUGUAGUUUGCGUCAGGUAGGACGUUUAAGGGGUGAUAGUAUCUUUCCUUUCGCGUAACCAGUCUUAUGCCAAAUAAUCUUUAUUGACCAGUUAGGAUUCCUAGUAACCAUAAUAUUAGGUGGCGACUCCUUGAACUAAACAUUUUCUCAAAAAACGAGAUGUCAGAUAUUCGUUCUUUGCCCGAUAAAUAAACAAGAGAUGGUUUUUUAAUCAGUCACCACGAUGUUCGGGUGUGACAUAGGUCACUUGUGAUAACAAGACCAUUUUUUCAAAACAAAAAGUGAAGUCUUUGGAUGGGUGCAUCACAUAAAAAAUAUAGAAAAAUAAGCAUUGUAAAGAGGGGGCAUGUGUUGCUACCCAUUUUUUACCAUAUAAAAAAUAAAAGAAAAAUAUAGAAAAAAAAAUAAAUCUAAAAUAUAAGAGGAUACAUAUGAAGAAAUCCUAAAAGACUGCCCAAGUUAGUGGUGAAGGACCAAAAUGACAAAUGAAAAAGUUAGAGGACAAAAAUAUACAAGAUUGGCAAAAUUAACAACCCAAUUUUGAUUGACAAAAGGCCUCAUUGGUGAAAAUAUUUUUAUUUGGGGUAAAGAAAUGAAAAUUUUGAUGUUUAAGGACCCAAUCAGGAUUUUGAAAGACUUAAUUAAUUUUAUUAAAGACUUAAUUGCAAGGAAAAUCAGUUUUUGAAGUUAAUUUGGAUGUUAAUUGAAAACAAUUGAAGUUUAGGGACUGAAAUUGGAUUUUGGGAAUCUUAAUUGGUUUAAUCAAGGGCUUGAUUGCAUAAAAUUCAAAGUUUGAUGGACAAUUAAGGACUUAAUUGAACAAAUUAGAAACCAAUGACUAACUUGCAAAAGGCGUAUGAUUUCGAGGACUAAAAUUAGUGAAAAUCAAGGACUAAAUCAAAGAAAAUUAAAAGUUUGAUAGUUGUCUAGAGGUCUAAUUAAACAAAUAAAAAAUCAAGGACCAAAUUAUAAAAGACGCUCAAAUUUAAAGCUGGCAAUUGAACUUGACAUGGGUGAAAAUGCAUGAAAUUAAGAGUUCAGGAAGAAAUUAAGGGCCAAAUGAAAAGAAAUUGGAAGAAUAAGGAUUCAAUUAAAGUUUUCUAAAUCCCAAAUUAAAAACCCUAAUAUGUAGUUUUUAGCCAAAACAACAUUGUUCAGGGUACUAUGCAUCUUCUUCUUCAAUAGUUUUAGCUAGUCAAGUAGGUAUUUUAAGAUGAAUGAAUGUGGCAUUUCCGACCACCUCUGAGGCUAAAAUAACCACCAUUCAACUGAGAAACACCCCCUUGAUAACCCCAUUUCCAUGAAAUCAAACAUAUACAUUCAAUUUUCUCCAAUGAUCUCAACAACAUCUUAUCUUUAUUCAGCCAUUACUGCACAUUCAAAUUCCAUACUAAUUGAUCUGACACUUUCAAGUGGUCUCCUGCAAUGUUGACAUUGGAGUUGCUCCAGCAAUGCCACGAAAGUGACCAACUCAGUCAGCCUAGACUGAGACGCUCAUUUGCACAAAAUCAUCUAACUUUUUGUGUGUUUAUACUUAAAAAAAAUCCCCAAAGGGUUCUUAUUAUGGGUUUAAAAUAAAACCCUUCUCUUAAGAUCAAAAGGCCAGAAAUACUUCACCUUAGCCUCUAAGUUAGUUACAAAACAAUCUAAAUCCAAAACCAUUGUAUAACAACCCCUCAUUCAUAUGACUUAAACCAAAAGCAAGAACAUAAUAAUAUAGUUAAGAUUUUUGUACUAUCCUUGAUAAUAAUAAAAGUCAAUAUUAUGAAAAAUUGGAGAAAAUGAUAAAUUAAAUUAUAACAUAAUGAUAGAUUUUAUAAUUUGAAUAAUAAAAUGUUUUUGUACGAGUGUUAAAAUAAAAAUUUUAAAAAUACAGAAAUGCGAAUAAAAUUUUAAUGAAACUGAAAGUACUAGCGUGUAACUUAAUGAAAUUUGAAAUAUCUUGAGUAAGAUUUGGUAUAAACAGGCGUCAAGAUUUAGAAAAUUUUACCUGAAAAAUCAUAAAAGUUACUAUUGAGGGACAUAGAAAGAAUUUGUAAAAAAGUUAUGUUUAUAUAUAUGUACGCGCGCGUGCAUAAGCGUAUGUGUGUGGAAAGGAAGAAAAAAAAACUAAAAAAAACUUGAUUGUUUCAAAAGAGAAGGGGAAGCAUUAAUAUGUUAAGAUUACAUUUGAGUUUGAUUUGAAAUUUGCCAAAUAUGGCAGCAUGGUUUUGGUGUUCUUUUGUUUUAGUUAAUGCAUGUUUCUGAGUUUUUCUUUUUUUGUCCUAGUUAAAGUUUUAGAAAGAUUUUUUUAAAUCCAAAUUGCGUGAAUAUAUAGGCUGUUUUAAGUUGGUAAUUUUAAAGAUUGGAAUUUGAUGCAUAUUUAUGAUGAUUUGUUGUUUUUGUGAGUUUUUUUUUUUUAUUUAAGUAAGUUUGGUUUUGAUAAUGUGUCUUGUUGGAACCAAGAAACCAUGUUUUAGAAGUAAAAAAUAAUCAUUCUGGGUUUGGACAGUGGCUAGGUUUUCUGGGUUUGAUUUUUUAGGUUUAAGGCAAUGUUUUUCUUGUUCAAGGGAAGAACAUUACCUUAAACCUUUAUUUGGACCAUUUUUGUCCAUUUAUUUGAACAUAAACCUUCAUUAUGCAUGAUUAACCAAUAAUGUGGUGUUUUUUGUCAUUAACAACACGUUAUGGUUUAUGAUUCUAUGGUUUCGGUUUCAAAUCAAAAUUCAUUUUGAUAAAAUCAAGAUUUUUAAGUGAAAAUCAAUGUGAUUUGAUUGUAUUUUUACCAUAAUAUACGAGUUGUAGAAAACUCUCCCGCCUACCUCGUGUAGGGUAUGUAGGUGUGAUAAUAUCUUUCCUAGCUAUAACCAAUCCCUUACCCUUAAAAUUCUGAUAAAACCAGUACACCCAGGUCUCCAAGUGACUUUGAAUCAAACAACUAGGUGGCAACUUCCUGACCCCCAGACGUCAAGCUUCCACGUGCAACAAUUAUUUUUUUUAAGUGAUUUAAUUACUAUCCAUUAUCAGCACUAUUAUUAUUAUUAUUAUUAUUAUUAUUAUUAUUAUUAUUAUUAUCAAUAUCAAUAAUACUAGUAGUAAUACUACUGUUAAUACUAAUGAUAAUAGUAGUACAAUUAUUAUAACAAUGUAUCCAUGCAUAUCUUUCAUAGACAUAAUAUCUUACUUUCAAACUAAAUCUCUUUUUAAACAAGCCAUUUAAAUCUAAAUCCAGCUUUUAUAAAAAAUUAUUUUCUGCAAUCAUUCAUCAAAAUAAAAUUAUAAAAUGAAAAAAAAAAGAGUAAUCAUUCAUCAAAUUCCAGUAACCCCUCUGUCAUGUGAGCGUGUUUGUUUGUUUUUUCUUGGGAUGCAGACGAUAUCUUCCCCUACUAACUUUUCUAGCAUGUCCUAAAAACUAUGAAGUUUUCCAUCCUCUCUGACAUGUCAUCGACAGAAAUGUGGUUUCAUGAUUAUCUUUUUAGUGCACAUGUCAAUCAAGGUCAAUAACAAUCAAGGUUAAUAAUGAAACCAAAGGUCAUUAUUCGUAUUACUGUUAAUAAUAAUGAUAAUAGUAGUACAAUUAUUAUUAACAAUGUAUCCUUACAUAUCUUUCAUGGACAUUAUAUAUUAUUAUCAAACUAAAUCUCUUUGAUUCUUAUUUUAAACAAGCCAUUUAUAUCUAAAUCGAGCAUUUAUAAAAAUUUAUUUCCAGCAAUCAUUCAUCAAAUUAAAAUUAUAAAAUAAAAAAGAAGUAAUCAUUCAUCAAGUUCGAGUAACCUCUUUGUCAUGUGAGUGCGGGGUUUUUUUUUUUUUUUGUAGGAUGCAGAAAACAUCUCCACAACUAACAUUUCUGGUAUGUCUUAAAAAACUGUGCAGUUUUCCAUCCUCUCAACAUGUCAUCGAAAGCUGAGCGGUUUCAUGAUUAUCUUUUUGGUGCACAUAUCAAUCAUGGUCAAUAACAAUCAAGGUUAAUAAAGAAACCAAAGGUCAUUAGUAAUAUUAUUUUUAAUAAUAACGAUAAUAGUAGUACUAUUAUUAUUAACAAUAUUUCCUUGCAUAUGUAUCAUGGACAGUAUAUCUUAUUUUUAAUCUAAAUCUCUUUUAUUCAUAUUUCAAACAAGCCAUUUAAAUCUAAUUCGUGCAUUUAUAAAAAUUUAUUUUCUGCCAUCAUUCAUCAAAUUAAAAUUAUAAAAUGAAAAAAAAAAGUAACCAUUCAUCAAGUUCCAGUAACCCCUCUGUCAUGUCAGCGUGUUUGUUUGUUUUUUCUUGGGAUGCGAAUGAUAUCUCCCCCCACUAACUUUUCUGGCAUGUCCUGAAAAACUGUAAAGUUUUCCAUCCUCUUUGACAUGUCAUCAAGAGCUGUGCGGUUUAAUGAUUAUCUUUUUGGUGCACAUGCCAAUCAAGGUUAAUAAAGAAACCAAAGGGCAUUAGUAAUAUUAUUGUUAAUAAUAAUCAUAAUAGUAGUACAAUUAUUAUUCAAUGUAUACAAUUAUUAUUCAAUGUAUUCUUGCAAUCUUUCAUGGACAUUUUAUCUUAUUUUCAAACUAAAUCUUUAUGGUUCAUAUUUUAAACAUGCCAUUUAUAUCGAAAUCAAGCAUUUAUAAAAAUUUACUUCCUACAAAAAUUCAUCAAAUUAAAAUUAUAAAAUAAGAAAAUGACCAAUCAUUCAUCAAGUUCUAGUAACCUCUCUAUCAUGUGAGCGCUUUUAUUUUUUUUUCUGGGAUGCAGACAACAUCUCCCCUACUAAAUUUUCUAGCAUGUCCUAAAAAACUAUGCAGUUUGCCAUCCUUUCUGACAUGUCAUCAAAAGCUGUAGGGUUUCAUGAUUAUCUUUUUGGUGCCAUUGUCAAACAAGGUCAAUAACAAUCAAGGUUAAUAAAGAAACCAAAGGUCAUUAGUAAUAUUACUGUUAAUAAUAAUGAUAAUAGUAGUACUAUUAUUAUUAACAAUGUUUCCUUGCAUAUGUUUCAUGGACUAUAUAUAUUAUGUUCAAUCUAUAUCUCUUUAAUUCAUAUUUUAAACAAGUCAUUUAUGUCUAAAUCGUGCAUUUAUAUAAAUUUAUUUCCUACAAUCAUUCAUCAAAUUAAAAUUAUAAAAUAAGAAAAGGAGCAAUCAUUUAUCAAGUUCUAAUAACCUCUAUGUCAUGUAAGCGCGUUUGUUUUUUUUCUUGGGAUGCAGACAACAUCUCCCCCACUAACUUUUCUGGCAUGUCCAGUAAAGCUGUGCAGUUUACUAGCCUCUCUAACAUGUCAUCAAAAGCUAUAUGGUUUCAUGAUUAUCUUUUUCGUGCACAUACCAAUCAAGCUCAAUAUAACAAUCAAGGUUAAUAAAGAAACCAAAGGUCAUUAGUAAUAUUAUUGUUAAUAAUAAUGAUAAUAGUAGUACAAUUAUUGUUAACAAUGUACUUUCAUGCACAUUUUAUCUUAUUUUCAAACUAAAUCUCUUUGAUUCAAAUUUUAAACAAGCCAUUUAUAUCUAAAUCAUGCAUUUAUACAAAUUUAUUUCCAGCAAUCAUUCAUCAAAUUAAAAUUAUAAAAAAAGAGUAAUCAUUCAUCAAGUUCUAGUAACAUCUCUGUCAUGUGAGCGCGUUUGUUAUUUUUUCAUGGGAUGCAGACAACAUCUCCCCCACUAACUUUUCUGGCAUGUCCUAAAAAACUAAGCAGUUUGCCAUCCUCUCUAACAUGUCAUCAAAAGUUAUAGGGUAUCAUGAUUAUCUUUUUAAUGCACAUGCCAAUCAAGGUCAAUAACAAUCAAGGUUAAUAAAAAAAACCAAAGGUCAGUAGUAAUAUGACUGUUAAUAAUAAUGAUAAUAUUAGUACUAUUAUUGUUAACAAUGUCUCCUUGCAUAUGUUUCAUGGACAAUAUAUCUUAUGUUCAAUAUUAAUCUCUUUGAUUCAUAUUUUAAACAAGCGAUUUAUAUCUAAAUUUUGCAUUUAUAAAAAUUUAUUUUCUGCAAUCAUUUAUCAAAUUAAAAUUAUAAAAUAAAAAAUUGAGUAAUCAUUCAUCAAGUUCUAGUAACCUCUCUCUCAAGUGAGUAUGUUUGUUUUUUUUUUUCUUGUGAUGCAGACAACAUCUCCCCCAUUAACAUUUUUGGCAUGUCCUAAAAAACUAUGUUGUUUUCCAUCCAUUCCGACAUUACAUGGAAAGUUGUGCGGUUUCAUGAUUAUGUUUUUGGUGCACAUAUCAAUCAAGGUCAAUAACAAUCAAGGUUAAUAAAGAAACCAAAGGUCAUUAGUAAUAUUACUGUUAAUAAUAAUGAUAAUAAUAGUACUAUUAUUAUUAACAAUGUUUCCUUGCAUAUGUUUCAUAGACAAUAUAUCUUAUAUUUAAUCUAAAUCUCUUUGAUUCAUCUUUUAAACAAGUCAUUUAUAUCUAAAUCGUGCAUUUAUAAACAUUUAUUUCCUGCAAUCAUUCAUCAAAUUAAAAUUAUAGAAUAAAAAAAAGGAUUAAUCAUUCAUCAAGUUCCAGUAACUUCUCUGUCAUGUGAGCGUGUUUGUUUUUUUUUGUGGGACGCAGACAACAUCUCCCCCACUAACAUUUCUGGCAUGUCCUAAAAAAGUGUGCAAUUUUCCAUCCUCUCUAACAUAUCAUGGAAAAGCUGUGCGGUUUCAUGAUUGUCUUUUGGUGUAUAUGUCAAUCAUGGUAAAUAACAAUCAAGGUUAAUAAAGAAACCAAAGGUUAUUAGUAAUAUUUUUGUUAAUAAUAAUGAUAAUACUAGUACAAUUAUUAUUAACAAUUUGUCCUUACAUAUCUUUCAUGGAUAUUUUAUCUUAUUUUCAAACUAAAUCUCUUUGAUUCAUAUUUUAAACAAGCCAUUUAUAUCUAAAUCUUGCUUUUAUUUUAAUUUAUAUCCUGCAAUCAUUCAUCAAAUUAAAAUUAUAUAUAUAUAUAUAUAUAUAAAGAGUAAACAUUAAUCAAAUUCUAGUAACCUCUCUCUAAUGUGAGUGCGUUUGUUAUUUUUUUCUGGGAUGCAGACAACAUCUCCCCCACUAACGUUUCUGACAUGUCUUAAAAAUCUUAGAAGUUUGCCAUCCUCUCUGACAUGUCAUCAAAAGCUGUAGGGUAUCAUGAUUAUCUUUUUAAUGCACAUGCCAAUCAAGGUCAAUAACAAUCAAGGUUAAUAAAAAAACCAAAAGUCAUUAGUAAUAUUACUCUUAAUAAUAAUGAUAAUAGUUGUACUAUUAUUAUUAACAAUGUUUCCUUGCAUAUGUUUCAUAGACAAUAUAUUUUAUGUUCAUUCUAAAUCUCUUUGAUUCAUAUUUUAAACAAGCGAUUUUUAUCUAAAUCAUGAUUUUAUAAAAACUUAUUUCCUGCAAUCAUUCAUCAAAUUAAAAUUAUAAAAUUAAAAGGAGUACUCAUUCAUUAAGUUCUAGUAACCUUUCUGUCAUGUGAGUGUGUUAGUUUUUUUUUCAUGGGAUGUACACAACAUCCCCCCACUAACAUUUCUGGCAUGCCCUAAAAAAGUGUGCAGUUUUCCAUCCUCUCUAACAUGUCAUUGAAAGUUGUGCAGUUUCAUGAAUAUCUUUUUAGUGUGCAUGCCAAUCAAGGGAAAAAACAAUCAAGGUUAAUAAAGAAACCAAAGGUCAUUAGUAAUAUUAGUGUUAAUAAUAAUGAUAAUAGUAGUACAAUUAUUAUUAACAAUGUAUCCUUGCAUAUCUUUCAUGAACAUUAUAUUUUAUUUUCAAACUAAAUCUUUUUUAUUCAUAUUUUAAACAAGCCAAUUAUAUCUAAAUCGUGCGUUUAUAUAAAUUUAUUUCCUGCAAUCAUUCAUGAAAUUAAAAUUACAAAAUGAAAAAAAAAAAAGUAAUCAUUCAUCAAGUUCCAGAAACCUCUCUAUCAUUUGAGCGCGUUUGUUUUUUUUUUCUUGGGAUGCAGACAACAUUUCCCCCACUAACAUUUUUGGCAUGUCCUAAAAAACUAUGUUGUUUUCCAUCCAUUCUGACGUGACAUGAAAAGUUGUGCCAUUUCAUGAUUAUCUUUUUGGUGCAUAUAUCAAUCAAGGUCAAUAACAAUCAAGGUUAAUAAAGAAACCAAAAGUCAUUAGUAAGAUUAUUGUUAAUAAUAAUGAUAAUAGUAGUACAAUUAUUAUUAUUAACAACGUAUCCUUGCAUAUCUUUCAUGGACAUUAUAUCUUAUUUUCAAACUAAAUCUUUUUUAUUCAUGUUUUAAACAAGCCAAUUAUAUCUAAAUCGUGCGUUUAUAGAAUUUUAUUUCCUACAAUCAUUCAUGAAAUUAAAAUUAUAAAAUAAAAAAGGAGUAAUCAUUCAUCAAGUUCUAGUAACCUCUCUAUCAAGUGAGCGUGUUUGUUUUUUUUCUUGGGAUGCAGACAACAUCUCCCCCACUAACAUUUAUGGCAUGUCUUAAAAGACUAUGCAGUUUUCCAUCCUCUCUGACAUGUCAGGGAAAAUCUGUGUGGUUUCAUGAUUAACUUUUUGGUGCACAUGCCAAUCAAGGUCAAACAUUCAUCAAAUUAAAAUUAAAAAAUUAAAAAAGAAGUAAUCAUUCAUUAAGUUCAAGUAACCUCUCCGUCAUGUGAACCUGUUAAUUUGUUUUUCUUUGGAUGUAGACAACAUAUCCCCCACUAACAUUUUUGGCAUGUCCUAAAAAACUGUGUAGUUUUCCAUCCGCUCUGAUAUGUCAUGGAAAGUUGUGCGGUUUCAUGAUUAUCUUUUUGGUGCAUAUGUCAAUCCAGGUCAAUCAUUCAUCAAAUUAAAAUUAUAUAUAUAUAUAUAUAUAUAUAAAAGAGUAAUCAUUCAUCAAGUUCUAGUAACCUCUUUGUCAUGGGACCGUGUUUUGUUUUUCUUGGGAUGCAGACAACAUCUACCCCACUAACAUUUAUGACAUGUCAUGGAAAGUUGUUUGGUUUCAUGAUUAUUAUUUUUUUGUGCACAUGCCAAUCAAGGCCAAUAACAAUCGAGGUUAAUAAAGAAACCAAAGGUCAUUUGUAAUAUUACUAUUAAUAAUAAUGAUAAUAGUAGUACAAUUAUUAUUAACAAUGUAUCCUUGCAUAUCUUUCAUGGACAUUAUAUCUUAUAUUAAAACUAAAUCUCUUUGAUUCAUACUUUAAACAAGCUAUUUAUAUCUAAAUCGUGCUUUUAUAAAAAAUUAUUUCCUGUAAUCAUUCAUCAAAUUUAAAUUAUAAAAUAAAAAAAAUGAGUAAUCAUUCAUCAAGUUCUUGUAACCUCUCUGUCAUGUGUGGGUGUUUGUUUUUUUUCGUGGGAUGCAAACAACAUCUCCCCUACUAACAUUUCUACCAUGUCCUAAAAAACUAUGCAGUUUUCCAUCCUCUUUUUCAUGUCAUCGACUACUGUACGAUUUUAUGAUUAUAUUUUUGGUGCACAUGCCAAUCAAAGUCAAUAACAAUCAAGGUUAAUAAAGAAACCAAAGGUCAUUAGUAAUAUUACUGAUAAUAAUAAUGAUAAUAGUAGUACUAUUAGUAUUAAUAAUGUUUCCUUGCAUAUGUUUCAUGGACCAUAUAUCUUAUUUUCAAACUAAAUCCUGUUUAUUCAGAUUUUAAACAAGACAUUUAUAUCUAAAUCGUGCAUUUAUAGAAAUUUAUUUCUUGCAAUCAUUUUUCAAAUUAGAAUUAUAAAACAAAAAAAGGAGUAAUCAUUGAUCAAGUUCCAACAACCUCUAUGUCAUGUGAGAGUGUUUGUUUGUUUUUUCUUGGGAUGCGGACAACAUCUCCCCCACGAACAUUUUUGACAUGUCCUAAAAACUAUGCAGUUUUUCAUUCUUUUUGACAUAUAAUAGAAAGUUGUGCGAUUUUAUGAUUAUCUUUUUGGUGCAUGUGCCAAUCAAGGUCAAUCAUUCAUCAAAUUAAAAUUAUAAAAUGAAAAAGGAGUAAUCAUUCAUUAAGUUCAAGUAACGUCUCUGUCAUGUGAGCAUGUUUUUUUUUUUCUUGGGAUGUAGACAACAUCUCCCCAACUAACAUUUCUGACAUGUCCUAAAAAACUGUGAUGUUUUCCAUUAGCUCUAACAUGUCAUGGAAAGUUGUGCAGUUUCAUGAUUAUCUUUUUUGUGCACAUGUCAAUCAAUGUCAAUACCAAUCAAGGUUAAUAAAGAAACCAAAGGUCAUUAGUAAUAUUAGUGUUAAUAAUAAUGAUAAUAGUAGUACUAUUAUUUUUAACAAUGUUUCCUUGCAUAUGUUUCAUUGACCAUAUAUCUUAUUUGCAAACUAAAUCUCUUUUAUUCAUGUUUUAAACAAGUCAUUUGAAUCUAAAUAGUGCAUUUAUAAAAAUUUAUUUCCUGCAAUCAUUCAUCAAAUUAAAAUUAUAAAAUGAAAAAAAAAAGUGUAAUCAUUCAUUAAGUGGUAUUAGAGGAGGUCAACAUUCAAAUCAAUGGAAAAUUGUGAAGAGAAUCGUGGAGCAUUUGGUGACAAUCAUCUCUGUGACAGUGAUCAGGGGAUGCAAGCAAUUUGAGAUCAACUAAAUCAUCAUUAGCGAUAGUAGCUUUAGAGGGACAAAUGCAAACUGGGUUUGGUGACAUCAAUACCAGAGUCGAUGACCUUACAACCAGGCUUAAAGCUUUAGUGUUGCACGCAAACACGAACUAGGAAAUAACAGAGGCAUGCGUAUGGAAUAACGCCAGUGAUAAACCUAUCCCUGAACUAGUUCAUGCAAAUCAUCAUUGCUAGUAUGACAAUGGUAUUCUUCUGAUAAAGAAGAUUGAGGUAAGGUUGCUAGAAAUAAUACGUAUGAUCAAGAUUAUCAUAUAAAAGUUGAGAUUUCUUGUUUUGGUGGUGAUUUAGGAGUAGAGGAUUUCCUUGAUUGGUUAGUUGAAUGUGAUCGAUUUUAUAAGCAUACAAGAGUUUCAUACUCGAGGAUGAUAAAAACUACAGGGUUUAAAUUGAAGCAUGGGGCCUUAGUCUGAUGAGAUAGGCUAUUGGAAACUAGAAGGCAAUAAUGUAGAAGACCUAUUAAAACUUGGGAGCAGAUGAAGUAGUUGUUGAGAGGUAGAUUUUUGCCUCUUGAUUUAAAAGACCUCUUCCUUAAGUAUCAAAGGUGUUCCUAUGAUUCUCAAAAGUUGCAUGAAUAUAUAACGAAAUUUUUGCUCCUAACUAAGCGAAAUAAUCUGCAUGAAACUUGUUGCAUGUCGAAGCCAAAAUACACAUAUUAUUGAAAAUUAGAGUCCCCACCUAGAAAUUAAAGGAAACUAAGGAUCCUAAAAAAGAUAAGCAUUAGUUCUAGAGAUUCAAGUAAGAGGUUAGUUAUGCUUAAGAUAAGAACGAUGUCACCCAUAAAACAUCAUAUUUUAUGAAAUGUUAUCUUUACUACAUGUUCACUUAAAAUUUUCUUUUUUAUUGUCAUCAAUUAUCCUAAUUAAUUGUUUUAUUAUUUCUAAUUUUAUAAAAGUUUGACAUUAGUCUUCAAAUACAUUAAGAUGUAGACAUAAAUUCCGAAAAGGAAUCUUCAUCGAAAUUGCUAAAAAAUAAGCAUAACUAGCAUUUGAUUUUCACAUAUGAACAUCGAUCCUUUUAAAAAAGGACGUGUCAAUUAAGCCAUUUUUAAGACGUGGUUCCAUAUGAAUAAUAAAAAUCGAAUUGGAAUUUAGCCCAUUCACUAUGGUGAAUUGCAAAACAAACCCGAAAAUCAUUAUUAUUAUUCUAUGAGCUUUAAUAAAACCAUAUUGACACAACCCAAGUUAUCAAUUCGUAUACUUGGAAAAUAUAAGGAAGCAUUUGUUAUAAAUUUUCUUUUGCAUUUUGUUUUUGUACUUUUUUAUAAGAAUGUCACUAUCAAUAAUAAUAAUAAAAAAUUUGGACUUUCACAAAAAUAAAAAUAAAAAAUAUGUACAAAAUUUAAACAUAUAAUUUAGCAAUAAAAUAUUUAUUUGGGUUGAAAUUGGGCUUGAGCUGGAAAAACUUUAAAAAAUACCACUGGACCACGUGGCGCGCAUGCACCCACAUGCUGGCUAUUUCACCAAUCUUAGGAUUACACCCACGUGCCUUCACUCACCAUUUAUAACCUGCAAAGGGAGUGAAUUAAUUUGGCCACCAGCUCCUUUUCUUCUCCUGUUGCCAGGGCUUUUUUUUUUUUUUUUGGUCUCUCGGUGUUUCUUCUCUUUUCAGCUGGGUUGUCGUCGAGAUAGUUGGGUUGGGUUUGAUUGGUUCAGUUUUAAGAAGUGGGGUCUGCUGGAUUGUUCGCGUGAAGGGGGACCUGCCUACUAGGUUCGACAGUGGAUCCUAAGGUUUGUGAGAGGGCGGUUUUCAUGGUGAUUGAUAGCUGUAGAAUGCAUAUGGUGGCCCAGGGCUGUGGGAUUUGGAAAUUAUUCUUCAAUUUUAAAUUUCUUUCACUUCAAAUUAAAUCAAAUUAAGCUAUUUUUUAAAUAUUCUCUUCAAUUGAGACCUUUAUUAUGACCAAAAAAAACUCUCAAACUCAAUUUGUUUUUAUUUGUGAUACUCUAUUAUCAAUCUAAUUUCAAACCUCAACUAUUUUUAUAUUUUUUUUCUUUUUUUUUUGACACGCAAGAAUUAAAUAAAAAAAAUGAAGAAAAUAACUAACACUACUUAAAAUAUAUUUUUCUAUUUUUCUAUUUUUUUUCAAAGUAUAUACAAAAAUAAAAGUAAAAAAAUUGAAUUACAACAAAACUGACGGCAAAUAAGUUGCUUGAUAAGUAAAGGGAUUGAAACCUGCCAUCAGAGAUAGAAUUGGGCUACAAAGGAGGGUUGCUGCCACAGAGCCUUGACUUACACCAGUUGAGAAGGGUAAGCAGCCAUAUAUAAACAAUUAAUCCAAACAAGCUCAUAUUGGCUCUAGUUAUGAUAAAAAUAGGCCUCAAGCAAUUCCCAGCGACGAUAACCAGAAAAAGAGAUAAUCCUCAUGUCAAGCCACCUUUAAUAAAGUGUUAUCGAUGCAAUUAGAAAGGGCAUAAAUCCAAUAUAUGUCCUCAGAUGAGGUUAGUUGGUCGGUCAUCGAAACCCUCAAAAUAUAAUUUUGACUUUACUUAUCACAAAUAAAAUAAAUUCGUAGUAUGAUUUUGAAAACCAGAUUGAACCCAUGAGAAAUUUUGUUUAAUCUUCCUAUAAAAUAUUGAAAUAAAAAAUAAUUGGGGAUUUGAAUAAAAAAUUAAAGAAACAAAAUUCUAAAAAUAAAAAUAAUAAAAUGAUAUGUCAUUAAUUCAGUUCAAAGGUCUAGACAUUCAUUCCUAUAAAUUUUCAUUCCUAUAAAUUUGUUGAUCAUCAAAGUAAAACAAAUAUUCUUACAAUUCAAGCAAAUAAAUUCGAUGUCUCUUAAAGUUAAAGGAAAUCGAGGAGAUUUUGACUAAAUUAAUUAGAUAAAGUUUUCUAAUCAAUUUCUUACCAUCAAACGAAUUUAACAUUGAAAACCAAUUUUAAUUCAAAUGGCAGUAGCCUUAUGAGCACAGUCUGUAAAAUUUAUUCUAAGCAACCGUUCAAAAAAUUCAGCAAUUUAACUUAGCUUAUUCCUCCCUAAAAAAUUAAAGUGAUAGUUGCAGCAAUCAAGUUAACUCCUUUGCUUUUUAUUCUAGACCCUAACAACAAUUAUAGAUUGAAAGAAACUAGAAAGUGUUGAAGAUUCUGAAGUAAUUAAGGCUGAUUUGAACCUGAUUUAUAGGAAAUAAAAACAGAAAAUCAAAUUUCUUUUCCAUAAAUUAGAUUCAAAUAAUAAUACCUAUUUAUGUGUAGUUAAUAGUUAUCCUAAUAUACAUUUGUAGAUGCUGUAUAUACUUAGGAAUCUAUUUUGAAAUAAGAUGAGAAAUCAGAAUUUAAGAAUUCUUCACAUGGUAUUAGAUCUUUAAACCAAGCCUAUCUUUUUUUUUUUCCAGAACGUACCUUCUCUCUGAACUUGGAAUUCCUUCUCUUCUCUUCUCUUCUCAUCUGUCCUGACAACCCUAGUCACUUGAUCUAGCAAACCUGUCCAAAUAUGAAAAACAUGUCUGAAAACACCACAAAAGAAACCUAAAUAUCAGGGUAAUUGUAGAGUUUACAGUCAUCCUACCGACUGAAUGGACAAAACUAUCUGAAGUAGUCACAAAUAGUGAAAACCUUUCUCAAAGGAAAAGGAAAUAUCAGUCAUUUGAUGGACCACCCUUCUAGUCCAGAAGACCCAAAAUUUACACUCUGAGAUGAAGAAAACUCCAUAACUAUGCCAUGGCUAUGGAACUCUAUAAUGCCAGAAGUCUGUGGGCCUUACAUGUUUCUGAUUACAACAAAGGAUAUAUGGGAUGCAGUGAGACAGACUUAUUUUAAAGUAAAGGAUGUUGCGUUAAUCUAUUAGAUUAAGACGAAGCUUUCAAUGACCAAACAAGGUAAUAUGAUGGUUAUUGAAUAUUACAAUACUAUGAAAAGUUUCUGGUUGGAAUUGAACUAUUAUCGGGAUUUUAAGAUGCAGUGUAGUGAUGAUGCUGUAAUUCUAAAAAAUUAUAUGGAAAGAGAAAGGAUUUUUGAAUUUCUUGUAGGACUUAACAUAGAAUUUGAUCAAGUGCGAGUCCAAAUACUUGGAAAGGAAUCUCUGCCCUCACUCAAUGAGGUGGUCUCAUUGAUAAAGGCUGAAGAAGGAAGGAGAAUUGUGAUGCUUGAUGUCCCUAAUAUUGAAGGGGAUGAUAUUAAUAACAGAAACCUGAGUGAUGCCAUGAAUGGUGCAGAAGUGGUGAAGACUGAAAGGAAAAAUUCUCUAAAGAUGAUCUGUUUUGUACCUAUUGCAACAAGACAAGUCAUACAAAGGAGACCUACUGGAAAGUCCAUGGAAAACCACCAAGGAUAGGGCGUAAUGGAGGAUACAAAUGGAACCAGUCAAGAGGACAUGCACACUUGACAAAUUCAGAAGAGUCAGCCCAUGAGUCUAGCACCCUAGAGGUUGGGGUUCAAUAAGGAGGAGAUUGAACGCCUAAAAACGUUACUCAACACAAUGGAGAAACCAUUUGGGUCAUGCUCUCUUGGUAUAUUAACUUUUUUUAUUGAUGGAAUGGAAGAGUGUAAAGUUGUUUUUAUAUAGCUAGAAUAACGUUGUUGAGCACUUGCACUUGUUGGGAGAGUCAUUAGAGACCUAAAAGUAUUAAAAUCCUUAUGAUAAGAAGAUCAAUUACUCUUUUUUGUCAUGGAGUUUUAUCAGUCAUGGACAAUAUUUUUGAUGAACAACAAAAGGGAAUAAACUAGAUUUUUUGUUGAGAUUUCCACAUGUGACUCCAUUAAUGAAGCCAUGAAAAACUUCGAACAUAUUAGGCUUUCCUUAGUUAAGUACUACGUUGGUGACUAACUUACAAAACAAGUUUUCUGUCAGGAUACAGGAUCCUUUGAUGCUUAAGUUAACAAAUAUAAUAGGAAUGUGUGUGUAAAAAAAUAUAUGUAAUGAAUGAUGUAAGUAUGCUUGAGUGAGCUUGAGUUAACAUAUAUAAGCUUGAAUGGCUUGUCUUCAGGACCUUAUAGAUACCAGAGGAACAUAGCUUAUCUUACAGGAAGAUUAUAUGGUAGAGAGGGAAAAAUGAUGAGGAAUAUCUGGUUUCCUAUAAAGUUGACUACUUGAUUGGCAUGCCAGACUUACGUGGAUAGAUUGGUGCUUGAAAGUAAAUCAUUAUCAGUAAGAGCGGCAGGCCAGGAAAGGCAAAGAAAGUUGGUGCAAAGUUAGAUAUAGAUUAGAAAGGUUAGCCUAAAAAGUUAAUAAGAGAUUGUUUAUUAAUGAGAGAAGGUGGUAUGGUGUGUGAUGGAUGGUGCAUGCUUAUAGAGGAAAAUAUUUUGAAACAUGCGCCAACAAGAAAGGGUGAAAGGAGGGAGGGAGGGAAGGAGAGUAGCUCAACUGCUGCUAAGGUGACAGUCUAGAUCAGGCUGUCAAGAUGGCAGCAACCCCUUUCUAGCUAGCUAGACCCAGCCUUGCUGUUGCAGAUAACCCCAGUCUGGGCCGAAAAGGCUCUGCCUGGGGCUGCUGCAUGCUACCCCGAUCUGGGCUGCAUCAUUAUCAAUUAACACAAACAUAAUAAUAUGGUGAAAAACUUAUUCGUUUCCAUACAAUGAGACAGUCAAAUUUUAAUCACCCCAUGCAUCGCAAGACAUUUCAAAAUAAUAUAAGUAGAAGAAGUCACAAAGUUAGAGAAAAAGAAAAAGAAAAAAUAAUCACCCAAACAUUGGCAUUUUUUUUAGUUUGAGAGAUGUAUUUUUAUUUUAAAUUAUCUAGAUUUUUUAUAUUUAUUCUAAUUGCUUUUAGUUUUAUCAAAUUUUAAAAUCAAGAUAAAAAAUAAUUUAAACUCAAUAAUAUACAUUAUAAUUAGAUUCUAAGAAAAUACAUUCAGGUCUGCAUGUUUGAAGAAAAAUAUAUUAAUAAGAAAACGAGGAAUUUUACAAAUAAAGCCAUUUUUUCAAUUGAGUUUAAAUUACUAACUUCUAAAAAAAACCCUUAUAUUAUUGUAUAAUUAAAAAAUAAAAAAGCUCUCAUUGUCCCGAGAUCUAAUAUUUUAAUAUGUAAAUUCCUUUUACCUUCCAGACUCAAUUUUUAAUUAUCAUUAAAGGUUUUUAAAUAUUUGUUGGCAUAUAUAAACCUUGUUUUAUUUUAUUAAAUACAAGCAUUAAAGCUUCCAGAUUGAGAUUGUCAUGUUCCUUGGAAAAAUGCAACUCGGCUUUUCAUGACUUUGAUAAGUGAACCGUGUUUUAUGUGGUGUGGUUCCUCUACGCCUUGGACACCAGAAUAUCUAAAAGAUAAGAUGAUCUUGUCUCCAAAAGCAAAUUUGUGGGAUGGAUUGGUGUGGUUCCUCUACGCCUAGGACACCAGAAUAUCUAAAAAGGCAUGAGACGAAGAAAGGCAUGAGAGAAAAGCAUAUUGGACAUAUUGGCUAGUGAUUGUGAGGCCCCAAUUCUUGACUGGGCAUAGUUGUAGAUGAGCUUUGAGUGGCGGCUGCAGCUUGAAAGAGAAAAGGGUGUAUGUAUAGCGAACCAAGGCUUAAAAUUCUUGAAAAGGGACUGCUAGUUGCAGGCAUAAAUAGUGAUCUUACUGGUAUUGGUGAUGGUAAUGGUGAUGAUGCUGAUGGUUCAUCAAGAUCUAAUAGUGCAAUAUAUAAUUGUCGAUGAGGUAAGAGGAAAUGACUGAAAAUGACUGGAAACUCUUCAAGUGAGCUCAGAUCCAGUAGAGAAUAAACUCAAGUUACUUUAUAUAGAGCUGUAUCCUUUUUGCGGCAAUUGUAUUCUCAUGCAUUCGAUCUCCAUCGUCUCAUGUGUGCUUUUGGAGGGCAUUGAGAACUUGUUACUUUCUUUUUUUUUUCUUUUUUUUUUUGAUAACGUAGGUGUCCGGGUCAGCUUGCAUGUACCUCGACUAAUCCAACAGAUCCUGAAGUUAACGACCAUAUAAGUCUCCAAUAAUCUUGAGAUUUGUGAGACUCGAACUGAUGAUCUCUAGAGAACUUGUUACUUUAAUCUUAUGCUACUUCUGUGUAAAAUCGUGUAGUUAAUGACGCUUUUCUAGUAAAAUGAUUGAGCACCAUCACAAGUGAUUAACUCUAAAUAGAGAUAUAAACAUGACUGCGCGAUGAAAUGAGAUACUUAUUGUGUUUAUUUUCAUUUGGAAAAAAUAUUAAAUUUAUAUUUUUUAAUGUUUUUUAAUAAUUUUUAUUUAUUCAUGUUAAAUUUUUUUUAACAAGCAGCUUGUAUCUUAAUAUCAAACACUCAACCCUAAUUUUCAGCACUUGAGAAUACAAUCUUUUUAACAGUAACAACAUAUUAAUUUUAUACAGUGAAAUUUAAUUGAAAAUUGGAGCCCCUAAGCAACUAAAUAUUAAUUUUAUACAAUGAAAUCUAAUGCAUGUGUGGGUUAAUGACCUAUGGUCAUGGUUUUAAAAGAUGAGUUGAGUCUCCUUUAGGCAUAGGUAAGAGACUGGAUCCUGUUCAUGCGAGUUGACCCACGAGUGAACUGGUAAAAAGUAAAACAAUGUUAUAACACUUCUUUUUAUUCUGCCGUUUCAAUUCCUUCUUUUCUACUAACAAAUAAUGAAUAAUUGUUAUAUAAUCUCACUUUUGUUUGUUUUGUUUUAUGUAAGUUCAAAAUUUAAAGCUGCUAAUCCGCAUGCACAUUAUUGUUUUUAUUUUUUUGAACACAUGGUUUCCCUUUUCUUUUUGUUUUUUUGUUAUGAUUUUUUUAAAAAAAUUAUUUUUAUCUAUUUUAUUUUUUAAUAUUGAAAUGGUUAAGAAUUUAAUUUUGUAAUUUUUUUCUUUUUCUUUUGUCUUUCUAUGAGGUUAGCAUGGUUUGCGAGUUUGUCAAGGGAACCCACGUUAUCCCAAUUUAUGGAUUUGAUUGGUUUUUUUAAAAUUAAACUUGAUUUUUUUAUAGUCUAUUUUUUUCUUAUAUUGUUAAGAAAAUAAUUUUAUAGAAAAACCAUAUUAUUAAACUUUAUGAAGAAACAAAACUUAAAGGAUGUGAGGGAAACCAUUGUUCCUCCAACACUCAUUGUACUGUGGAUUACAAUAGUAAUCCACAAUGUUUUGCUUUCUUAUUUUUGUUUUUUUGAAUUUUUGCUAUGAUAUUUUUUCAAAUCUAUUUUUUUCGAUUUUAUCUUUUCAAAUAAGAUGGGAUAUGACCCCUCUUGCAAAUUAAUUAAAUGUGCUAAGGCCUCCUUUUGAUGCUCCAAUGGACCUCUAAUUUCUGCAUUGGCCGAAACUUGCAAGACUAGCCUAUUUAAUACUUCUUUCAAUACCUUUAUUUUGGACCUUGUAAUUGGCCCAUUUAGAACAUGUAAUAGAUACUUAUUGGUGUUCGUGGGCUGAUCCACAUUAAUUAUGGUUACUAGAAAACCCUAAUUACUCUUUAAAGUUCUAAGAUAAGGGACAUGUUACGCUAAAGGAAAUGUAUUAUCACCCAAAGUAUCAUACCUAUAGUAAAUUCCAUUGCUACCUGUCUUUUAUCCCUAAUAGCUUGUUAUGCCCAAUCUACCGAUGGUGUAUCUACAUGGAUCUACUGUAAUGAGUUAAACCUAUAGUAGGUUUUAUUCCUAUCCGUUCUAAAGUUUUGUUUAUUUUUGUUACUCCCAAUUUUUAUUUUGUUUUAUGUAAGUUCAAAAUUUAAAGCUGCUAAUCCGCACAUUGUUUUUAUUUUUUGAACACAUGGUUUUUUUUUCCUUUUCUUUUUGUUUCUUUGUUAUGAUUUAAAAAAAAUAAUAUUUUUGUCAAUUUUAUUUUUUAAUAUUGAAAUGGUUAAGAAUUUAAUUUUGUAAUUUUUUUCCUUUUCUUUUGUCUUUCUAUGAGGUUAGCGUGGUUUCCGGGUUUGUCAAGGGAACCCACGUUAUCCCAAUUUAUGGAUUUGGUGGGGUUUUUUUUUAAUUAAACUUGAUUUUUUAUAGUCUAUUUUUUUCUUAUAUUGUUAAUAAGAAAAUAGUUUUAUAGAAAAACCAUAUUAUUAAACUUUAUGAAGUAACAAAAACUAAAGGAUAUGGGGGAAACCAUUGUUCAUCCAACACUCAUUGUGGAUUACAAUAGUAAUCCAUAAUGUUUUGCUUUCUUUUUUCUGUUUUUUUUUUUUGAAUUUUUGCAAUGAUUUUUUUUCAAAUCUAUUUUUGUCGAUUUUAUCUUUUCAAAUAAGAUGGGAGUUGACACCUCUUGCAAAUUAAUUAAAUGUGCUAAGGCCUCCUCUGAUGCUCCAAUGGACCUCUAAUUUCUGCAUUGGUCGAAACUUGCAAGACUAGUCUAUUUAAUACUUCUUUCAAUGUCUUUAUUUUGGACCUUGUAAUUGGCCCAUUUAGAACAUGUAAUAGAUACUUAUUGGUGUUCAUGGGCUGAUCCACAUCAAUUAUGGUUACGAGAAAACCUUAAUUAGUCUUUAGAGUUCUAAGAUAAGGGACUUGUUACUCUAAAGGAAAUGUAUUAUCACCCUAAAGUAUCAUACCUAUAGUAAAUUCCAUUGCUACUUGUCUUUUAUCCCUAAUAGUCUGUUGUGCUCAAUCUACCGAUGGUGUAUCCACAUGGAUAUAUUGUAAUGAGUUAAACCAAUUGUAGGUUUUAUUCCUAUCCGUUCUAAAGUUCUGGUUAUUUUUGUUACUUCCAAUUUGUUUGGGGAAUUUAUAUUUAUAUCCCUAUUUACUCCAUAUCAUGACCCGUGAUUAUUAAUAGUUUAUAAAGCCUUGCUAGUGAAUAAUUGGACGGGUCUAUGUUAGGUUCAUUAAACCCAGUUCAAAUCCUAGGAUGAGAUGUCGCCGAACAAUUUGUUUAUGCAAUGGUGGUGUAUGGAUAAUGUCCCGUUCAAGUUCAUUUAUCCUAUAGUACCAGGGUUUACUCGUAAUUUUUACGGAAUAAGAGUUUUGUACCCUAAUCCUAAAAUGUCCAAGCAUUAACUAUUGUGGGUUAAUCUACUUAGGGAGUGUUUGGGUGGGAGGUUUUUUUUCAAAGGUACAACUCUUUUAAAGCACACACAACACCUCCUAAAAGCAAAAAAUACAUGCUUUUCAAUGAAAAAAAAACCACCACACGUCCCACCAAAACACACAUUAGUGGUGAGAUCUAGUGGCACACAUACUUUAGACAAUAUUAGACUUAGAUAUUUUUAAGACUUGUUUUUUUGUUUAAAAUCAAAAGAAACAACUAAUACUUUUAAUAUAAAAUGUAAUGAUCCAUGUUAAGUCCAUUUACCCUAAAUACCAAGAGUGAAUAACAAAACAUAUUUUGACAUAAUUUUAAAACAACAAGGAUGAGUUGUAAAGGCUUGGAACAUAAUAUUAAACAUGGCUUUACAUAAAUAUAAUAUCUUGCAUGUCAAUUCAAAAUCCUUACGAUCUAGAGCUUUAUUUAUAUUUUAUUUUAUUUUAAAUUAUUUUUUGAUAUUGACUUAGUUAUAUUUGGAUGACUCAACAUAUUGAUUCAUAACUUAGUUAUGUACUGCUCAUGUGAAUUGUAUUUUGAUGCUUGGAAAUUGAUUAUUUGUGAUUGUGCGCAAUGCAGUUUUUUUAGGGAAGAAAGAUGAUAACAAAAUAAAUUAUCACAUGAUAUCUCUGGUAAAGAAGUCGUAGAUACCUUCUGCGACAUGUGAGUUGCAAUUGACAUUUACGACUUGCAUGUUGUAGAUUGUAUCUACAAUAAUGGAGGUUCAGAAGUCAUUCCUGACUUACUGAUGGCACAUGCCAGUUAUAAUACUCUCAAUUACACUUAGAUUUUUAAAUAUUGUUUUGCUUGUGUUAUUUUACAAAAUAUUUUUUUUAAGGGUGCUAACUUACCAAAAACUCUAUCCUGGCUAGAUUCAGUUUGUCAUGUUCCUUGGAAAAAUGCAACUCGGCUUUUCAUGACUUUGAUACGUGAACCGUGUUUCCUUUGGUGUGGGAUCGUGGAAUUAUUGAAGAUACCAAAGUUGUGUGGUCUCUUUAAUAGCUACUGUUUUCUUUUGUGGUUGAUAGAGAAGGUUGAGGAGAAAUAAAUAAUGCAUGGGUACGAUGAAAAGAUCUGUCUCCAAAAACAAAUUUGUGGGGGGCUCGCAUAGUAGUAGCUGUGUUUGCAUGGGCUUUGAGUGGCGGCUUCAGCUUGAAAAAGAAAAGGGUGUAUGGCUGGUGGCUAGUACGAGGAAAGGGAGACAUAAGGUUGUAAGGGUUAGAGUUAACUUGGUAAUACAAGAAUAAAAAUGAAUUGUAUGUGAUUCUACUUGGGUGCCGAUUGAAACUAUGUAUGGUGCUGGGGUAAAAUUUGUUUUUUUAGUAUAUUUUUAAAUUAUUUUAAUAUGUUGGUUUUAAAAUAAAAAAUUAUUACUUUAAUAUAUUUUUAAAUAAAAGCCAAUUUAAAAAUAACUAAUUUCAUACUUACAUGACCUUCAAGACUCGGGUUUCAUGUGUUGUGUGAGAUAGUUAAACUAUUGAAGAUAUCAAAAGUCCCAUCAUGUACAACAUUGAUAAUCCACACUUAAAUUAUUGAAGAUACCAAAGGUCCCAUCAUGUAUAAUUUUUUUAUCACACUAAAAUGAUUGGGUCUCUUUUCAAAAAGAGCUUAACGGCUGACGACGUCGGUCAAUGGCUACUUUUUUUUUUUUUUUUUUUGAUAGAGAAGCGUAGAGGAGAAAUCAAUAAUUCAUGGGUACGGUGGAAUGGAGAGAUAAGCUUGUGGGUACGGUGGAAUGGAGAGAUAAGCUUGUCUGGGUUUUUUAUUGUUAUAAUUUUUUUUUUUUUCAUCCAUUUUUACUGUUCACAACAACAUCUAUUUAUAUUACUAGCGUGUUUGAUACUAUGAUAUAAGUUGUUUUUUAAAGUAUUUUUACUUGUAAAUGAAUCAAAAUAAUAUUUUUUUUAUUUUUAAAAAUUUAUUUUUGAUAUUAACAAAUCAAAACGAUACAAAAAUAUAAAAAAAUAUUUUGACUAAAAAAAUAAACAAAUUUAAAAACACGGUUGGACCACAAAACCAAAAAAGGCCCAACAUAGGUAUAAUAUCUUGCAGAUCAAUUCAAAAUCUUCGAGAUCAGCUUGAUUUGGAUUUUAUUUUAUUUUAAAUUGUUUUUUAUAUUGACUUAUUUAAAUUUAGAUGACUCCACAUAUUGGUCCAUUAUUUAGUGAAUUUAGCCAAACUUGACUAAGUCAAAGUCAAUAAAUUAAAAAAGAAUUUAAAUGAUAUCAUUUUGAAAAUAUAAAAAUAAACACGACUUGACUCGGUAAUAUGAGAAUUAUUAACCCAAUGAUUCUCUCAAAUCUCAAACAAACCUUAAAAUAAAAAUCAAAGUUUAAUUCUCUAUAAACAGUUUGUAAAACACUACAAUAUACAAGAAAACUACACUACAAAUAUUGUAAAUCAACAAUACAUUAACUUAAACACAACAAUAUAGCACCAAAAACGCUCCUAUGAAAGUGCGUUAGGUCCAGCGCUGGCCAGACCUAAAUGCUCAUGAGUCUGGUCAAUGCAAGACCCAAAGGUUAAUGCAAACCAAGUAUAAUUGAUGGGAACCUCAUAAUCGUGUGAUCAUGCAACUCACAAUCAAGAUUGAAAUCUGAUCUCGAAAAGUCAAAAGAGGUUUGAUAGGAGUGUAACAUAAUAGAAACAUGUCUCAAGGUAUUAGCACUAUUAAAAUUAAAUUGAAUGAUGCUAAGAAGCCAGUUAAUCUUAGAUAAGUCAGUUUAGUUCUUUCAAGAACCAAAAAAAUACAAGAAUCACUCUCAUAAAAAAGUUGAAAAAUCAGGAUGAUAUUAUUCAAUGACCGCUGAAUUUUAGGCUUACAAAAAAUUUAAAUAAUCUUAGAAAAUAACCCAAAUGGAUCUACCGUUGUGGACUAAACUGGCUCACUUAUAAAAUUGACCCAGAACAUAUACUGAUAAGUCCAAAACACUGAUCUAAACAAGUCUUGGAUCUUAGCUAAAAACCAAGUAUUAAUUAAGUCCAAACAAGAUUUGGGCUAUAGCUGAAAUAAUAAAAAUAAAACUCAUAAGUUAAUUCCUUAAAUUGUCGUGAGAAGAGAAAAAAAAAGAGAAAACAAUAUAAGUCAGAUAUAAGGCUCAUGUACAGCCUACAAUGCCGCCCAAUGAUCCUAGAAACAGGGGAGAAGUUGACGCCCCUAUAGUUUCUAAGAUAGUAAAAGAUUUUAAUUGUAGCUUUGUAUUUAUCAUUCUUUUGGAAGGAAAUGUUGUUGCCUUUAUUGUUCCUCUUUGCCGCCAAUUAAUUGUCCUUCCAUCACUAGAAAAAACAAUUAAAGUUGUUGAAAUAUUUUCCUUGCAAAUCUAGGAAACUUUGCCGCCACUUUGUUACCCUUUUAAGCUUGGAUUCUUUGUUUUCUUUUGUUGUGUAUUCUCCUCACUUGACAUGGAAAUAAAUUAAAUAAGAUAUUCUAAUACAUAAAAGAAAUAAUUAAUGUUCUCACACGUAAUAGAAAAUCUACAAUUAGUAUGGAAUCCACAAGGCACAUGGAAACACACACUAAAACAAGGUUGACCCAAACUAGUGUAAAAUUGGCAGCCUUGCUGUCGAAAGUUCAUGGCCCAAAUAAGGUGGGAUUUGGCCCCUCUUACAAAUUAAUUAAAUGUACUAAGGCCUCCUCUUGAUGCUCCAAUAGAUCUCUAAUUUAUGCAUUGGCCGAAACUUGCAAGACUAGUCUAUUUAAUGCUUCUUUCAAUGCCUUUAUUUUGGACCUUGUAAUUGGCCCAUUUAGAACAUGCAAUAGAUACUUAUUGGUGUUCGUGGGCUGAUCCACAUCAAUUAUGGUUACUAGAAAACCCUAAUUAGUCUUUAGAGUUCUAAGAUAAAGGACUUGUUACGCUAAAGGAAAUGUAUUAUCACCCUAAAGUAUAAUACCUAUAGUAAAUUCCAUUGAUACUUGUCUUUUAUUCCUAAUAGUCUGUUGUGCCUAAUCUACCGAUGCUAUAUCUACAUGGAUCUACUAUAAUGAAUUAAACCUAUGGUAGGUUUUAUUCCUAUCUGUUCUAAAGUUCUGUUUAGUUUUGUUACUCCCAAUUUGUUUGGGGAAUUGAUAUUUAUAUCCCUAUUUACUCCAGAUCAUGGCCCAUGACUAUUAAUAAUUUAUAAAGCCAUGUUAGUGAAUAAUUGGAUGGAUCUAUGUUAGGUUUAUUAAACCCAGUUCAAAUCCUAGGAGGAGAUGUCGCUAAACAAUUUGUUUAUGCAACGGUGGUCUAUGGAUAAUGCCUUGUUCAAGUUCAUUUAUCCUAUAGUAUCAGGAUUCACUCAUAAUUUUUACUGAAUAAGAGUUUUGUACCCUGAUCCUAAAAUAUCGAAGCAUUAACUAUUAUGGGUUAAUCUACUUAGUGGUGGGAUCUAGUGGCACAAAUACUUUAGACAAUAUUGGACUUACAUAUUUUUAAGACUUAUUUUUUUAUUUAAAGUCAAAAGAAACAACUAAUACUUUUAACAUACAAUGUAAUGAUCCAUGUUGAGUCUAUUGACCCUAAAUACCAAGAGUGAAUAGCAAAAUAUAUUUUGAAAUGAUUUUAAAACAACAAGGAUGAGUUGUAAAGCUUGGAACAUAAUACCCAACAUGGCUAAACAUAAAUAUAAUAUAUUGCAAGUCAAUUCAAAAUCCUAGAGAAGUUUAAUUUAGAUUUUAUUUUAUUUUAAAUUAAUUUAUGAUAUUGACUUAGUUACAUUUGGAUGACUAACAUAUUGAUUUAUAAUUUAGGUAUGUGCUCCUUUUGUGAAUUGUAUUUUGAUGUUGGAAAACUAAUUACUUGUAAUUGUGUGAAUUAUAAUUUUUUUGAAGAAGAGAGUUGAUAGCAGAAUAAACUAUCCACUUAGAGAAGUUGAAAACACCGAGUUGCCAUUGACAUCUAUAAUUAGCAAGUCAUAGAUUGUAUUUGCAAUAAUAGAGGUUAUGGCAUUCGUGACUGACGUGAUGCACAAGACUUACAAUACUCUCAACUAUACUACAUUUUCAAAAAAAAAAAUAUAUAUGUAUUGUUGCUACCCAAUUUUUGACCCAUGUUUAAUAAUUUUUCAAAAAUAAAAAAUAAAAAAAUAGAAAUAGAAAUAAAAAAUAAGGGUUUACAUGUGGCGAUAACAUAGAGCAUCAAUGCUAAUAUCAAGGAAGCAAUAUGUCAAGGAGAUAAUUACCGAAUCAUAUAUAAAUACUGCAAUAUAAAAUACCAUAUAUAUAUGAUUUGAUUCGUGCUGGUUAUGGAAAAUAAUCAUACCAUAGAUAUAUGAUUUGAUUCGUGCUGGUUAUGGAAAAUAAUCACUGCAAUAUAAAAUACCAUAUAUAUAGGAUUUGUUGGUGCUGGUUAUAGAAGACAAUCUCUGCAAUAAUUAUUGCAAUAUUUCCUUGAAUAGCACGUACACAGAUUUUCUAUAUAAAUGAAUCUCCAGCCAUAUUAAAGGGGGGAGAAAAAUAUUCAAAAGGGGUUGCAAUUUUUCAGAAAAAAAAAAAGCAAAACACAAAAAACCCUAAACCCGUUUCAUCUUCCUCUUCUGGUCGCUCCCUCCCUUUGAAAAGAAAAAAACAGAGCCGCCCUCCCUGCUUUUGAUUUUCGCUCCCGUGAACCAGCCGAAGCCUUCCUCUUCUCCAUCCAACAGCCCCGCUCACUGCCCCUGCACUCUCCUUUCUCUGCCGCCAGCCAAACAAACCAUUCCCCCAUCUUCUUCUCCCAAGUCAGCCACCAGCGAGCCCCUCCAUUUCUCCAUCUCAGCCACUUACCCCACAGACACCAGACCACAGCACCAACAGUCCCUUCUCCCCGAGUCCAGCUUUUUUUUUUUUCCCUUCGUUUUCUUCUUCCCCUCAGCCGACCAAAGAACACACCAGCCCCUCUGCCUUUCCAUCUUUUUUUUUUCAUCCCUUCAUCUUCAAGUCUAAGCCAACCACCAGCGGCUUCCCUGUUUUUUGGAGAUUUCGGUCACAGAACCCCCAAGCCUCCAACAACUUUUCCCUCUCAUCAACAACCCUCCUUCCUCAGCUCAUCAUCUUUCUCCCACACGCCGCGCCACCAUUGAGGGAAACCAUUGUACACUGAGGAGGACGAACAGCUGACAGAAGGAAACACCCGAGAUCAAGAGGAGAAGAACCAAACAGAAGCAAAGGAGGAAGGAAAACAGAGGCGGGUGCAUCUGCAUAAAGGAGAAGAAAUACUGCAGAAAACAGUUGUUGACAUUGAGCUUCUCAGCCACUGCCACCGUCAGAACCACCGGGAGACCUAGUCGGCUGCCUCUCCACCGCCACCAGCAUCACAGGGAGUGUUCGCCAUCGUCUUCAACAUCGCUUCUGCCACCAGGUUUGUUUCUCCUUCUCGUCGCUGUGCAUGCACCAUUUCCUUGCAUUUCACUGUUCAAGUGAAAUAUAAUUCACUUGAACAGUGAAAUGCUAUUUCACUAGUUACUUAUUGUGCAUAUGCACAGUAACCCGGUUACUGUGCUGGUGCACAGUAACCAGUCCAUACUUGUUUUGGGCUGGAACCCCAGCCCAGCCCAUACUGCUGGGCUGAGUCCAGCCUUGUAGAAAGUAAGCCCAUGCUGUUGGGCUGAUUUCGGCCCAUUUUCCUUUUGGGCCGGGUAUGGCCCAUUCAAAAGUUUUCUUCAAAUAUGUAUUCAAAAAUCUGUGAUUUUCUGCAAGUUUGUAUUUUUGUACUAUAAAGAAUACAAAUCCGGUAUGAAAAUACCCGGUUUUCGUCAAGACAUCAGAAAAAAUAUAAAAAUGAAAAAAUGUUUUGUUUUCAUGCAUACGGCCAAUACCCUAACAUUGUUUUUACGUUUUUUUAUCUAAAAAACAAAUGUUUGAAGUUUCAAAAAUGUGUUUUCGCAUGGAUUUCUUAAACACAACAAAAAUCAUUUUUCUUGCAUUUCUGGAUUUUACAACAUGUUUGUAAAACUCCAAAGGGUAUUGGCCAAUAUUCCAAAAAAAAUAUAAAAAUCUUAUUUUUGGAGAAUUCAUCUAUUAUUCACCACUAAUGUUUGGAUAAAGAAAUCCCUAAAGGACGAAUAUCCAAAAUAUUAUUGGGGAUAAUUUGUUAUUAUUCACCACUAAUGUUUGGAUAAAGAAAUCCUUAAAGGACGAAUAUCCAAAAUAUUAUUGGGGAUAAUUUGUUAUUAUUCACUAUUAAUAUUUGGAUAAAGAAACCCGGAGUGGUAAAUAUCCAAAAUAAUUUUCUAGGAAUAAUAAAUCCGCACACAUCCUUGAAAGAAACCUUGAUUAUAAUCGAGGACAUUUCAAAUUUUUUUACUCCACGGUUUGCGAGCCGUGAGAGUAUAAAACACUAAGACAAAAAAUAGGUUUUUAAAGCACCCUAUAUUUCGUUCAUCAGGGCAGACUUAUCCUAGGAAACUGAUGGGAUUAGAGAACAUCAACACCAUAACAGUUAUAAGGCAAAUCAAACUCCAAGCAGCUUACCUUAGGUAGGGCGUACUAGGGGUGCUAAAACCUUCCCUUUACGCAACCAGUCUCUUGCCUUAGAAUCUCUGAAAGACCAGUUAGGUUUCCUAGUGACCAUAAUACUAGGUGGCGACUCCCUUUUUCACAACAGAAAGACCCCAACAAUCAAUCCUGGCUAAGAGGAUGGGUCGCCGCGACGUCAAGCUCUCGGGAGGGUGCGACAGGAUGGCGACUCCACUGGGGACGCUUGGACUAAGCUUGGUAAUUGCUUUUUUUUAUUAUGCUAUGUGUUGUUUUUUUUUACUAUGAAUGAUAAUUUGUUUAAAAGCUUUAGCAUGCAUCUUUACAUCCUGUCAUACAUGAUGUAGUCAUUCAUCACUUUACUAUUAUUUUCUUUUUGGAGAGCACACAUUAAAUUUUAAGUUAAGUGGGGGACUAGCAGCUUGCCUUAUGACUUGAGUCAAGGUUUAAGUUUGUGUAAACCCCAACUCUUUGCUGAGUGUUUAGACUGAUAGUGAUUGGUAUAUGUGCCACCCCACUAUCUGCUGAACCCCCAUAUUGCCUUUACGAGGGUGAUCACUAGGACAGCAAGAGACCCUCUUUAGAGACCAAGUAGUAAACCUACACAAUGUCUCACAUAAAGGAAAUAGAACCUAUCCUUAGGAUGUAUGCUCCAUAGUAUCUUUUUACAUCCAAACAAGCCUAAGCUCAAAGCAUUUUGAAUCUCAAGACCUUCAUUCAAAAGCUAGCAAAGGGAGAGAUGUUCCAGAAUUGGGAGACCCAAGAAGCUCUAUUGGUGUUCAAAAUUUAAUCAACAAUGCUUGUUUGAUCAUGAUAUUGUGUUGUUUGCCUUUUUCACCUUUUUAAAUCGAGUUUUCAAAUGUCAAUUGGAUUUUAUCCUUCUUUUUUUUAGCUAAACUUUUCGUUUUAAUGAGAUCAUGCAUUUUCAAAAGUUCAUCUUUAUGUUUUUACCAUGCAUUUACACAUCACUUUCCGCUCGUAAAAACCCUGAAAGCGAAUCUUCCAUAACAAACACUUGCACUUUACACUGAGAAUGAAUGGCCGAACUUUAAAGAAUACAUAUUAGUUGUAAAAGAAGAAGAAUGAGAGGGAAAUAACAUUAGGGGAUUCACAAAAAUUAAUAAAAACAACAUGAACAAGCUUGGAAACUCGCUAAAGAGGAGCUUGAAACCAUAAAUGUGGGCGACGAAGAAAUCAAGAGAGAGUUGAAGAUACAGACUAGGAUCACCCCUAAAGAAAGAGAAGAGUUGAUUGCACAACUCCGAAAUUAUGUAGAUGUUUUUUGCCUGGUCCUAUAAAGACAUACCUGGUGGAUAGGGUACCACUAGUAGAAGGAUGCAAACCGGUUAAGCAAAAGUUGAGAAGAAUCCAUCUGGAUGUCUUAGUAAAAGCAGAAAUUGAAAAGCAGUGGAACACCGAUUUUCUAGAAGCAGUCAAGUAUCCACGUUGUGCGUCGAACAUAAUGAUAGUACCUAAAAAGGAAGAUAAAAUCAGAGUUUGUGUGGACUUUAAGGAGUUAAGCCCAAUUAGCCCUAAAGAUAAUUUUUCUCUACCACACCUAGAUAUGUUGGUUAACAAUGCAAUCACGUAACUCCAUAUAUUCCUUUAUAGAUGGAUUUUCUGGCUAUAAUAAAAUAAAAAUGGCACAAGAGGAUAAGGAGAAGAAACCUUUGUAACACUACGGGGAACCUUUUGCUACAAAGUCAUGCCAUUUGGGUUAAAGAACGUUGGGGCCACCUACCAAAGGGUCAUGUUGACUCUAUUUCACGACAUGAUGCAUAAAGAGAUGACAUGAUUGCUAAAUCUAGAGAGGGAAAAAAUCAUGUCCAAAUAUUGAAGAAAUUGUUUGAAAGACUUAAGGAAAUAUAAUUUGAGGCUUAACCCAACGAGGUGUUCAUUCGGGGUGAAAUCUGGGAAGUUGUUAGAAUUUGUGGUAAGUGACAAAGGGAUAAAAGUGGAUCCCAACAAAGUAAAGGCUAUUCAAUCUAUACCACCUCCCAAGACUGAGAAUGAUGUAAUAAGGUUCUUAGGAAGAUUGAAUUACAUUGCCCGGUUUAUAUCCCAAUUAACCAUGACUUGUGACCCAAUCUUCGAUUGUUAAGGAAGAAGAAUCUUGGAAUUUGGAAUAAGAGUGUGAAGAAGCUUUCGCGAAAAUCAAGCAGUACUUACUGAAUCCACCCUUAUCUAUCAAGCCAAAUGGCAAGUUCUACUGGCUGAGUACGACAUAGUAUAUAUGACAAGGAAAGCCAUGAAUGUCAUCGCCGAUCACCUAGCUAACCAUGCUAUGGAAUAUUAUGAGCUGUUAAACUUUGAUUUUCCUGAUGAAGAUGUGUUUUCAGUCGAGGAAGGGAAAUCAGAUUGGUGGAUUAUGUACUUUGAUGGUGCUAUGGUAAUGAAGUGGGGGCAGUGCUAAUCUCUCCUGAUAAGAAACAUUAUCUAGUUUCAUUUAAGUCGUAGUUUGGGUGCACUAACAACAUAAGAGUAUGAAGCUUGCAUUCUCGUUUUAGAGGUGGCAUUAAAUAUUAGAAAGAUAGAUAUGUAUAAAGACUCUAUUUUUGUUUAUUUGCCAAGUGAAAGGAAAAGGGCAAACCAAGGACGAGAAGUUGAGACCUUACCAAGAAUACCUGUCUGAAUUGGCUAGAAAAUUUGAGGAAAUAAAGUUCACCCAUCUAGAAAGGGAAGGAAACCAUUUUGCUGAUGCUUUGGUCACGCUAGCUUCUAUGACUAGAAUAGACUUUGGGCACAAGGUGCGGCCGGUACACAUUGAUACCAGAAAUAACUCAGCUCAUUGUUGCUCAGUUGAAAGAGGAAUAGAUGGAAACCCUUGGUACUAUGAUAUCAAGAAUUUCAUCCAAAACCAAACAUAUCCCAUGGGGGCAUCCACAAUCGACAAGAAGACUUUGAGGAGGUUGGCAAUGGAUUUCUAUCUUGAUGGGGAAACUUUGUAUAAGAAAUCAUCUGACGGAAUAUUGUUGAGAUAUUUGGAUGACGUGGAGGCAAAAGGUGGUGAAGCAAUUUAUGAAAAGAGAUUUGAUCUAUCGAUAUGGUCCACUAGAAAAGAUUAUAUCUAAUAAUGCCCAGAACUUCAAUAGUAAGAUGAUAAUAGAACUCUACGCUAGAUGGAAAAUCAAGCAUUCCAAUUCCUCGCCAUAUAGGCUAAAGAUGAAUGGUGCGGUAGAAGUUGCUAACAAGAAUGUCAAGAAGAUUAUUCAGAAGAUGAUAUUCACCUACAAGGAUUGGCAUGAGAUGUUGUUAUUGGCCCUUCACGCGUACUGCAUCGCAGUCUGAACCUCAAUAGGAGCCACCUCAUAUAUGUUGGUAUAUGGAAUGGAGGCGGUGAUGCUUUUAAAAGUUGAAAUCCCCUCAUUAAGAGUAUUGAUAGACUCUAAGCUAGAAGAGGUAGAGUGGGUAAAAGUUAGAUAUGAAUAGUUGAAUCUAAUCAGUAAAAAGAGGAUAGCUGCAAUCUAUCAUCAUCACGGAUGACCAAAUCAUAUGAUAAAAAGGUCUGACCUCGAGGAUUCCAUGAGGAGAUCUUGUACUGGAGAAAAUAUAGCCUUUACGUGGUAAAGAAAGCGUUCUCGGGAGGAGCUUUAUUGUUAUCUAGAAUGGAUUGAGAAGAUCUAGUUAGACAUGUGAAUACUGACUCUAUAAAGAAAUACUAUGCUUCCAGAUCCAUAAAAUAAAGUUCGGCCAUGAAUUCUCUCUAUAAAGAACCUUUUCUUCAUAAAGCGCAUGAUCUCAUAGCAUUCAAAAUCUUUUACUUAAAAGAAUUGUUUUUACACAUGACUAAGAAGAUGACUCCAUCAAUUCUCAAAUUGAAGGGAUCCAAACCAAAUUUAAACCUGAUAGGUAUUGCACACCACACUAGGGGGCAAAAAGUGCACAUAGGGGUCUAUAGUGAACCAAAGCCCAAAGGGGUAUCAUCAUUAGAACUUCUGAAACACCUUUUAUGAGAGUUGCUUAAAAAAAAUAGGAUGAUUGCAUUGAAAGUUUUAGUUUUCAUGAACAAAACCAAAUUUUUUUUAGUUUUCCUUUUAAAAGUAAUUUCUCAAAAAAUGGAAAAGGCAAUUAAAACAUCGGCAAAAGUAUAAUACAAAGCAACGUUUAAUGGAGUAAGAAAGGGCCCCAUAAGGAACUGGAGAUCUCUUCAUCAAGCAUUAAAAUGAUAGGAAAUAUAGCGCAUGGAGCAUAUUUCAGUUCAAGAGGAUAGGUCGUACAAACAAAUGGAAACAAGAGCUCGAAGAAGUCCACAACGGAAAGAGGGGACCUAUAUUUCCAAAAAUAGGUAACAAAAAACAUGCAUGCUAUAUUGUCAUAACACUAACCUGGCAGGAAAGGUGUGACGAAAGUCAAAUAGUUCCAAGUUUUUGGGACUCGCUGAGAUACAGAAUCUCAGGUCAACGGAACUACGGAAAAGAAUAUGAAUUGUGAGCUGGCACUGUUUCACUCCUCGAGGUAAGAUGAUUUCUUUUAAAGUUCAAAACGGGCAGGUCACCCGAUAUUGAGAUCAUUUUUUUGAAAAAAAAUGUGAGUUUUUCUAAAAAUUUUAAAAUAGAAAGGUCAUCCGAUUUUGAGACCAUUCCCUAGAAAAGGCAUGGAGUUUUUCUAAAAAAAAAUAAAAAUAAAAAUAAAAUAAAACGGGCAGGUCUCCAGAUAUUGAGACCCCUUUCUAAAAGCAUUUUCUGUUACAUCUGGGUAGGUCACCCAUCAUAAUGAGACCAUCAUUUUCCACCUGGGUAGGUCACCCAUCACAAUGAGACCACCAUUUUUUCUGGGUAGGUCACCCAUUAGAAUGAGACCAUUCUCCAUUUUUUUUUUACCUGGGUAGGUCACCCAUUAUAAUGAGGCCAUUCUUCCCCCUGGGUAGGUCACCCAUAAGAAUGAGACCACUCUUCCCCUUUUCCGCCUGGGUAGGUCACCCAUCACAAUGAGACCAUCAUUUUUUCUGGGUAGGUCACCCAUUAGAAUGAGACCAUUCUCCAUCUUUUUUUACCUGGGUAGGUCACCCAUUAUAAUGAGGCCAUUCUUCCCCCUGGGUAGGUCACCCAUAAGAAUGAGACCACUCUUCCCCUUUUCCGCCUGGGUAGGUCGCCCAUCACAAUGAGACCAUCAUUUUUUCUGGGUAGGUCACCCAUUAGAAUGAGACCAUUCUCCAUCUUUUUUUUUACCUGGGUAGGUCACCCAUUAUAAUGAGGCCAUUCUUCCCCCUGGGUAGGUCACCCAUAAGAAUGAGACCACUCUUCCCCCUUUCCACUUGGGUAGGUCACCCAUUAGAAUGAGACCAUUCUCCAUCUUUUUUUUACUUGGGUAGGUCACCCAUUAGAAUGAGGCCAUUCUUUCCCUUGGUAGGUCACCCAUAAGAAUGAGACUACUCUUCCCUUCUCUCCACUUGGGUAGGUCACCCAUCACAAUGAGACCAUCUUGCAUUUGGGUAGGUCACCCGUCAGAAUGAGACCAUCUUUCACCCGUCAGAAUGAGACCAUCUUGCAUUUGGGUAGGUCACCCAUCAUAAUAAGACAACACACACCAACUUGGCUUCGAAUUAAAGGAGAUCGCCAGAUGGGAUCUCAGGUUAACCCAACCACACACAUAGUUUAGCUUUGGUUAAAGGGAAUCGCCAGAUGGGAUUUCAGGUUGACCAAGUUACACAGCGACUUUGCUUCGGGUUAAAGAAAGUCGCCAGAUGGGAUCUUAGGUUAACCCAAUCAAAAAGACAGGUAGCCCGUGAAAAUAGAUCAGCGUGAGUAUGUGGGCAGGUCGCCCGUGAUAACGAGACCAUUUCCUUUUAAAAAAGUGAAAAUCCUUGGAUAAGUGGAUCACUUAGCAAGCAAGAAAGACCUUUUUUUGUUCUUUUUCUUUACAAGCUUACUAUGCAAAACAUUGAGGCGUUUUGCUUCGUAAGCAUUGUAAAGAGGGGGCAUCUGUUGCUACCCAAUUUUUGACCCAUGUUUAAUAAUUUUUCAAAAAUAAAAAAUAAAAAAAUAGAAAUAGAAAUAAAAAAUAAGGGUUUACAUGUGGCGAUAACAUAGAGCAUCAAUGCUAAUAUCAAGGAAGCAAUAUGUCAAGGAGAUAAUUACCGAAUCAUAUAUAAAUACUGCAAUAUAAAAUACCAUAUAUAUAUGAUUUGAUUCGUGCUGGUUAUGGAAAAUAAUCAUACCAUAGAUAUAUGAUUUGAUUCGUGCUGGUUAUGGAAAAUAAUCACUGCAAUAUAAAAUACCAUAUAUAUAGGAUUUGUUGGUGCUGGUUAUAGAAGACAAUCUCUGCAAUAAUUAUUGCAAUAUUUCCUUGAAUAGCACGUACACAGAUUUUCUAUAUAAAUGAAUCUCCAGCCAUAUUAAAGGGGGGAGAAAAAUAUUCAAAAGGGGUUGCAAUUUUUCAGAAAAAAAAAAAGCAAAACACAAAAAACCCUAAACCCGUUUCAUCUUCCUCUUCUGGUCGCUCCCUCCCUUUGAAAAGAAAAAAACAGAGCCGCCCUCCCUGCUUUUGAUUUUCGCUCCCGUGAACCAGCCGAAGCCUUCCUCUUCUCCAUCCAACAGCCCCGCUCACUGCCCCUGCACUCUCCUUUCUCUGCCGCCAGCCAAACAAACCAUUCCCCCAUCUUCUUCUCCCAAGUCAGCCACCAGCGAGCCCCUCCAUUUCUCCAUCUCAGCCACUUACCCCACAGACACCAGACCACAGCACCAACAGUCCCUUCUCCCCGAGUCCAGCUUUUUUUUUUUUCCCUUCGUUUUCUUCUUCCCCUCAGCCGACCAAAGAACACACCAGCCCCUCUGCCUUUCCAUCUUUUUUUUUUCAUCCCUUCAUCUUCAAGUCUAAGCCAACCACCAGCGGCUUCCCUGUUUUUUGGAGAUUUCGGUCACAGAACCCCCAAGCCUCCAACAACUUUUCCCUCUCAUCAACAACCCUCCUUCCUCAGCUCAUCAUCUUUCUCCCACACGCCGCGCCACCAUUGAGGGAAACCAUUGUACACUGAGGAGGACGAACAGCUGACAGAAGGAAACACCCGAGAUCAAGAGGAGAAGAACCAAACAGAAGCAAAGGAGGAAGGAAAACAGAGGCGGGUGCAUCUGCAUAAAGGAGAAGAAAUACUGCAGAAAACAGUUGUUGACAUUGAGCUUCUCAGCCACUGCCACCGUCAGAACCACCGGGAGACCUAGUCGGCUGCCUCUCCACCGCCACCAGCAUCACAGGGAGUGUUCGCCAUCGUCUUCAACAUCGCUUCUGCCACCAGGUUUGUUUCUCCUUCUCGUCGCUGUGCAUGCACCAUUUCCUUGCAUUUCACUGUUCAAGUGAAAUAUAAUUCACUUGAACAGUGAAAUGCUAUUUCACUAGUUACUUACUGUGCAUAUGCACAGUAACCCGGUUACUGUGCUGGUGCACAGUAACCAGUCCAUACUUGUUUUGGGCUGGAACCCCAGCCCAGCCCAUACUGCUGGGCUGAGUCCAGCCUUGUAGAAAGUAAGCCCAUGCUGUUGGGCUGAUUUCAGCCCAUUUUCCUUUUGGGCCGGGUAUGGCCCAUUCAAAAGUUUUCUUCAAAUAUGUAUUCAAAAAUCUGUGAUUUUCUGCAAGUUUGUAUUUUUGUACUAUAAAGAAUACAAAUCCGGUAUGAAAAUACCCGGUUUUCGUCAAGACAUCAGAAAAAAUAUAAAAAUGAAAAAAUGUUUUGUUUUCAUGCAUACGGCCAAUACCCUAACAUUGUUUUUACGUUUUUUUAUCUAAAAAACAAAUGUUUGAAGUUUCAAAAAUGUGUUUUCGCAUGGAUUUCUUAAACACAACAAAAAUCAUUUUUCUUGCAUUUCUGGAUUUUACAACAUGUUUGUAAAACUCCAAAGGGUAUUGGCCAAUAUUCCAAAAAAAAUAUAAAAAUCUUAUUUUUGGAGAAUUCAUCUAUUAUUCACCACUAAUGUUUGGAUAAAGAAAUCCCUAAAGGACGAAUAUCCAAAAUAUUAUUGGGGAUAAUUUGUUAUUAUUCACCACUAAUGUUUGGAUAAAGAAAUCCUUAAAGGACGAAUAUCCAAAAUAUUAUUGGGGAUAAUUUGUUAUUAUUCACUGUUAAUAUUUGGAUAAAGAAACCCGGAGUGGUAAAUAUCCAAAAUAAUUUUCUAGGAAUAAUAAAUCCGCACACAUCCUUGAAAGAAACCUUGAUUAUAAUCGAGGACAUUUCAAAUUUUUUUACUCCACGGUUUGCGAGCCGUGAGAGUAUAAAACACUAAGACAAAAAAUAGGUUUUUAAAGCACCCUAUAUUUCGUUCAUCAGAGCAGACUUAUCCUAGGAAACUGAUGGGAUUAGAGAACAUCAACACCAUAACAGUUAUAAGGCAAAUCAAACUCCAAGCAGCUUACCUUAGGUAGGGCGUACUAGGGGUGCUAAAACCUUCCCUUUACGCAACCAGUCUCUUGCCUUAGAAUCUCUGAAAGACCAGUUAGGUUUCCUAGUGACCAUAAUACUAGGUGGCGACUCCCUUUUUCACAACAGAAAGACCCCAACAAUCAAUCCUGGCUAAGAGGAUGGGUCGCCGCGACGUCGAGCUCUCGGGAGGGUGCGACAUGUAUACCAAAAGAAAUUAUUAGGUCAUGAAAAUGCUUGAUUUCCAUAGAAAAUGCUGGGAUUUUUUAAUCGUUUCUGGUUGAAACGAAAGAAAAAACAUUAGUUCACAAUACCAAUAGCUUGAUUGCCAUAGAAAAUGAGGAUCAUGUCAAUAGUUAGUGGGCAAUAGUCAUCAUCAGAUAAAUGUAAGUGUGGGAUCGUGGAAUUAUUGAAGAUACCAAAGUUUCCACACCCAACUUGACUUCAAUUCUUUAAUAUUUCUUCGCUGUGUGGUCUCUUUAAUAGCUACUGUUUUCUUUUGUUGUUGAUAGAGAAGGGUUGAGGUGAAAUAAAUAAUGCAUGGGUACGGUGGAAUAAAAGAUAAGAUCUGUCUCCAAAAACAAAUUUGUGGGGGUAGUAGCUAGCUGGGUUUGCAUGGACUCUGAUACGGGAGUCGUGUUUCAUGUGUUGUGUGAGAAAGUUAAAUUAUUGAAGAUACCAAAGGUCCCAUACAAAUUCACAAAAAUAUCCACGACCAUAAUAAUAUAUAGAGAGCUUUGUGAUCAGACAAUAUAUAUAUUAUUAUGGCAAGACCACCCGAGGGAUUUCUGUGAAUUCUCGAAAUGGAAUGAUACCGGAAAGAAUUUUUAUUCAAACAUUAAUAGAUCGUGUAUUAGUAGACAAUAUAUAUAUGGGUCUACGAUGCAUUGCCACUCGAAAUCAAGAUAUUGGGAUUGGACUUGUCAAUCGAUUCAUCACCUUUCGAACACAACCAAUAUCUAUUCGAACUCCUUUUACUUGUAGAAGUACGUCCUGGAUCUGUCGAUUAUGUUAUGGUCGAAGUCCUACUCAUGGCGACCUGGUGGAAUUGGGAGAAGCUGUAGGUAUUAUUGUAUUGUAAAUCACUAUCUGGAUGCAGCCAUUGUGAGAAAGUUAAAUUAUUGAAGAUACCAAAGGUCCCAUACAAAUUCACAAAAAUAUCCACGACCAUAAUAAUAUAUAGAGAUCUUUUAGUUCAAAAUGAUCAAUAUGUAGAAUCAGAACAAGUGAUUGCUGAAAUUCGCUCGGGAACAUACACUUUGAAUUUUACAGAGAGGGUUCGAAAACAUAUUUAUUCUGAUUCAGAAGGAGAAAUGCACUGGAGUACUGAUGUAUACCAUGCAUCUGAAUUUACAUAUAGUAAUGUCCAUCUUUUACCAAAAACAAGCCAUUUAUGGAUAUUGUCAGGGGGUUCGUGCAGAUCCAGUAUAGUCUCGUUUUCACUACACAAGGAUCAAGAUCAAAUAAACGUUCAUUCUCUUUCUGUCGAAAGAGGAUAUAUUUCUAACCCUUCAGUAAAUAAUGAUAAAGUUAAACACAAAUUCUUUAGUUCAUAUCUUUCGAGUAAAAGUAAAAAAAAAAAGUAGGAUUCUUGAUUAUUCAGACCUUAAUCGAAUGAUAUGUACUGGUUUCAUAUAUCCUACUAUUCUCCACGAGAAUUCUGAUUUAUUGGCAAAGAGGCGAAAAAAUAGAUUUAUCAUCCCAUUCCAAUCGAUUCAAGAAAAAGAACUAAUGUCCCAUUCCGAUAUCUUGAUUGAAAUACCUAUAAAUGGCAUUUUCCGUAGAAAUAGUAUUUUUGCUUAUUUUGAUGAUCCCCAAUACCGAAGAAAGAGUUCAGGAAUUACUAAAUAUGUGGCUAUAGGGGUGCAUUCAAUUGUCAAAAAAGAGGAUUUAGUUGAGUAUCGAGGAGUCAAAGAAUUUCAGCCAAAAUACCAAAUGAAAGUAGAUCGCUUUUUUUUCAUUCCCGAGGAAGUGUAUAUUUUACCCGAAUCUUCUUCCCUAAUGGUACGGAACAAUAGUAUCAUUGGAGUCGAUACACAAAUCACUUUGAAUACAAAAAGUCGAGUAGGGGGGUUGAUUCGAAUAGAGAGAAAAAAAAUGGAACUUAAAAUCUUUUCUGGAGAUAUCCAUUUUCCGAGGGCGACAAAUAAGAUAUCCCGAUACAGUGGUAUCUUGAUACCACCAGGAACAGUAAAAACAAAUUCUAAGGAGUCGAAAAAGGUGAAAAAUUGGAUCUAUGUCCAACGGAUCACACCUACCAAGAAAAAGUCUUUUGUUUUGGUUCGACCAGUACUCAUAUAUGAAAGAGGGGACGGUAUAAAUUUAGAAAGACUUUUUCCGCCGGAUUUAUUGCAGGAAAAAGAGAAUCUGAAACUUCGAAUUGUCAAUUAUAUUCUUUAUGGAAAUGGUAAACCAAUUCAGGGAAUUUCUAACACAAGUAUUCAAUUAGUUCGUACUUGUUUAGUGUUGAAUUGGAACCAAGACAAAAAAAGUUCUUCUAUCGAAGAGGCUCGUGUUUAUUUUAUUGAAGUAAGUAUAAAUGGUUUGAUUCGUGAUUUCCUAAGAAUCCACUUAGGGAAAUCACGCAUUUCCUAUAUCAGCAGAAAAAGGAACGAUCCAUCAGGUUUGGGAUUGAUCUCUGAUAAUGGGCCAGAUCGCACCAAUAUUAAUCCGUUUUAUUCCAUUUAUUCCAAGACAAGGAUUCAACAAUCACUUAAACAAAAUCAAGGAACUAUUAGUAUUAGUACGUUGUUGAAUAGAAAUAUGGAAUGUCAAUCUUUGAUAAUUUUGUCAUCAUCUAAUUGUUUUCGAAUGGAUCCAUCCAACGGUGUAAAAUCUUAUAAUGUAAUAAAAGAAUCAACUAAAAGAGAUCCUAUAAUUCCAAUUAGGAAUUUGUUGGGCCCUUUAGGAACAGCCCUUCAAAUUGCGAAUUUUUAUUCAUUUUACCAUUUACUAACUCAUAAUCAGAUCUCGGUAAUUAAAUAUUUGAAACUUGACAAUUUAAAAUUAAAACAGACUUCAAAAUUAAUGGAUGAGAACGGUAGAAUUGUUAAUCACGAUCCGUACAGUAACAACGUUUUGAAUCCAUUCAAAUUGAAUUGGUAAAUUGAAUUGGUAUUUUCUCCAUCAUAAUUAUCAUCAUAAUUAUUGUGAAGAAACAUUCACAAUAAUUAACCUGGGACAGUUUAUUUGUGAAAAUGUAUGUAUGACAAAAAACGGACCACGCCUAAAAUCAGGUCAAGUUCUAAUUGUUCACGCCGACUCUGUAAUACUAAGAUUGGCUAAGCCCUAUUUGGCCACUCCAGGAGCAACUGUUCAUGGAUGUGAGAUGGAUCCAGAAAAAAGGGGGUUCUAGUUAUAAUCCAGAAACAAUUCGCGUAUAUAUUUUACAGAAAUGUGAAAUCAAAGUAGGGGAUAAAGUCGCUGGAAGACAUGGAAAUAAAGGCAUCAUUUCCAAAAUUUUGCCUAGACAAGAUAUGCCUUAUUUGCAAGAUGGAGCACCUGUUGAUAUGGUCUUCAACCCAUUAGGAGUACCUUCAUGAAUGAAUGUAGGACAGAUAUUUGAAUGCUCACUCGGGUUAGCGGGAAGUCUACUAGAUAGACAUUAUCGAGUAGCACCUUUUGAUGAGAGAUAUGAACAAGAGGCUUCGAGAAAACUAGUAUUUUCUGAAUUAUAUGAAGCCGGUAAGCAAACAGGAAAUCCGUGGGUAUUUAAACCCGAAUGCCCGAGAAAAAGUAGAAUAUUUGAUGGAAGAACGGGAGAUCCUUUUGAGCAGCCUGUUAUAAUAGGAAAGCCUUAUAUCUUGAAAUUAAUUCAUCAAGUUGCUGAUAAAAUACAUGGAUGUUCCAGUGGGCAUUAUGCACUUGUUACACAACAACCCCUUAGAGGAAGGGCCAAACAAGGGGGACAACGGGUAGGAGAAAUGGAGGUUUGGGCUCUAGAGGGAUUUGGUGUUUCUCAUAUUUUACAAGAGAUGCUUACUUAUAAAUCUGAUUAUAUUAGAGCUCGCCAAGAAGUGCUUGGUACUACGAUCAGUGGACGAACAAUACCUAAACCUGAGGAUGCUCCAGAAUCUUUUCGAUUGCUCGUUCGAGAACUACGAUCUUUGGCUCUGGAACUGAAACAUUUCCUUAUAUCUGAGAAGAACUUCCAGAUUAAUAGGAAGGAAGUUUAAUCGGAAUGAAUCAGAAUUUUUCUUCUAUGAUCGAUCGGUAUAAACAUCAACAACUCCGAAUUGGAUCAGUUUCGCCUCAACAAAUAAGUGCUUGGACUAAUAAAAUCCUACCUAAUGGAGAGAUUGUUGGAGAGGUUACAAAACCCUAUACUUUUCAUUACAAAACUAAUAAACCUGAAAAAGAUGGAUUAUUUUGUGAAAGAAUUUUUAGGCCUACAAAAAGUGGAAUUUGUGCUUGUGGAAAUUAUCGAGUAAUUGGCGAUGAAAAAGAAGAACCAAAAUUUUGUGAACAAUGCGGGGUCGAAUUUGUUGAUUCUCGGAUACGAAGAUAUCAAAUGGGCUACAUCAAACUGGCAUGCCCAGUAACUCAUGUGUGGUAUUUGAAACGUCUUCCUAGUUAUAUCGCCAAUCUUUUAGAUAAACCUCUUAAACAAUUAGAAGGCUUAGUAUACUGCGAUGUGUGAUUUGAUCGAAAUUCUGAUUUUACAGUUUUGGAAUGAGAAACUGUCAUCUCAUUUAAUCGAAUUGGGAUGCCUUGGGUCUGACAUGUCUCUUAGGAAGAGUAACAUGAAGCUCAGAAUUAUGGAUGUAUUAAAUACUCCCCAAUAAAAGUGGAAUUGGUCUAUGGUCGAUUCAGUAACAAAUAAGUAGGAAUUUCUAGUUGUACCUCGUGAAAACGGACUUCUUUCUUUUUUUUUUCUUUUGUGGAAUUAAUCAUUUCCUUUCUUUUUAUUUUAGAAAAAAAUUAUGUUUAUACUCAAGUAAGUAAAUAUGUCAUGGUUGCGAGAGUCUAUACAUCGCAUAUAGGCUUUAAUAGCAUCAUAGCAUAACCGUCGAGGUCAAGUCGAGUUCGAGACCUAAAAGAUCGAAUGGAAGAAGACAUAGACAAGUAAAUCCCUUGAAUUCCCAGUAUUUUGGAAUUCAUCAUUCGAAGGGAAGUAGACUACUCAAGAAUUUCGCAUUGCAUUUAGGUCGUAAUUGUGAUAAUUGAAUAAAGAAUUUAGAAAUUCUAAAAAAAAAACAGAAAAGAAGAAUGAAUCAAUGAAAUGUUGCUUGGUCUUCAUUGGGAACUUGAGUAAGGAGUGGCUCCUUUUUUUUUUUGGGUUUUAUCCAUUUUGAAAGCAGGAACCCUUUAUUUUAUCUUUAUUUGGUGUAACUACUUGAGACGGAUGAAAGGAAACUUUCACGUCCGAUUUUGAAGGGGGGAGAUCCUAUAGGAUCCUAUCCCAAUUUUUCUUUUGCUAGGCCCAUAGCCAAAAAACCUACUUUCUUACGAUUACGAGGUUCGUUCGAAUAUAAAAUACAAUCUUGGAAAUACAGUAUUCCGUUUUUUUUUACUACCCAAGGGUUCGAUACAUUUUGAAAUCGAGAAAUUUCUACUGGAGCUGGUGCUAUCCGAGAACUAUUAGCCGAUCUGGAUUUGCGAAUUAUUCUAGAUUAUUCAUCGUUAGAAUGGAAAGAAUUAGGGGAAGAAGGACCCACCGGGAAUGAAUGGGAAGAUCGAAAAGUUGGAAGAAGAAAGGAUUUUUUAGUUAGACGCGUGGAAUUAGCUAAGCAUUUUAUUCGAACAAAUAUAGAACCAGAAUGGAUGGUUUUAUGUCUAUUACCAGUUCUUCCUCCCGAAUUGAGACCCAUCAUUUAGAUAGAUGGAGGUAAACUAAUGAGUUCAGAUAUUAAUGAACUCUAUAGAAGAGUUAUUUAUCGGAACAAUACUCUUACAGAUCUAUUAACAACAAGCAGAUCUACGCCAGGGGAAUUAGUAAUGUGUCAGGAGAAAUUGGUACAAGAAGCCGUAGAUACACUUCUUGAUAAUGGAAUCCGCGGAAAACCAAUGAGAGACGGUCAUAAUAAGGUUUACAAGUUGUUUUCAGAUGUAAUUGAAGGCAAAGAGGGAAGGUUUCGUGAGACUAUGCUUGGCAAACGGGUUGAUUAUUCGGGGCGUUCUGUCAUUUUCGUAGGACCCUCACUUUCAUUACAUCGAUGUGGAUUGCCUCGCGAAAUAGCAAUAGAGCUUUUCCAGACAUUUGUAAUUCGUGGUCUAAUUAGGCAACAUCUUGCUUCAAACAUAGGAGUUGCUAAGAGUAAAAUUCGAGAAAAAGAGCCAAUUGUAUGGGGAAUACUUCAGGAGGUUAUGCGGGGACAUCCUAUAUUGCUGAAUAGAGCGCCUACUCUGCAUAGAUUAGGCAUACAGGCAUUCCAACCCAUUUUAGUGGAAGGACGUGCUAUUUGUUUACAUCCAUUAGUUCGUAAGGGAUUCAAUGCAGAUUUUGAUGGGGAUCAAAUGGCUGUUCAUGUACCUUUAUCGUUGGAGGCUCAAGCGGAGGCUCGUUUACUUAUGUUUUCUCAUAUGAAUCUCUUGUCUCCAGCUAUCGGAGAUCCCAUUUCCGUACCAACUCAAGAUAUGCUUAUGGGGCUCUAUGUAUUAACAAGCGGGAAUCGUCGAGGUAUUUGCGCAAAUAGGUAUAAUCCGUUUAAUUGCAGAAAUUUUCAAAAUGAAAAAAUUGACGCUAAUGCUAAUAAGGAUAAGUAUAUAAAAGAACCCUUUUUUGUAAUUCAUAUGAUGCAAUUGGAGCUUAUCGCCAGAAAAGAAUCAAUUUAGAGAGCCCCUUGUGGCUUCAGUGGCAACUAGAUCAAGGCCUUAUUGCUUCAAGAGAAGCUCCCAUCGAAGGUCACUUUGGAUCUUUAGGUACCUAUCAUGAGAUUUAUGGACACUAUCUAAUAGUAAAAAGUAUAAAAAAAAAAUUCUUUCUAUAUACAUUCGAACCACUGUUGGUCAUAUUUAUCUUUAUCGAGAAAUCGAAGAAGCUAUACGAGGGUUUUGCCAAGCCUGCUCAAACGGUACCUAAUCUAAUCAUAGGGAUCUAAGCUAAGUGAUUUUAUGACAUUGGUCUGAAUUCAGAUCUCUUUGGUGCAACUAGGACUAUAGUUCCUGAAUUUCUACGCGAAUCAAGAUUGAGAAAAGGAAGUUUUCCAAGCAUUAACUCAAAUCUAUUGCCGAGCCCUAUUCAUCAGAAUAUGGAGGUAUUUAUGUCCGAACGGGCUAAUCUCUUCUUUCACAAUAAAGUGAUAGAUGGAACUGCCAUUAAACGAAUUAUUAGUCGAUUCAUAGAUCACUUCGGAAUGGCAUAUACAUCACACAUCCUGGAUCAAGUAAAGACUAUGGGUUUCCAUCAAGCCACUGCUACAUCUAUUUCAUUAGGAAUUGAUGAUCUUUUAACAAUACCUUCGAAAGGAUGGCUAGUCCAAGAUGCUGAACAACAAAGUUUGAUUUUGGAAAAACACCAUCAUUAUGGAAAUGUACACGCGAUAGAAAAAUUACGUCAAUCCAUUGAGAUAUGGUAUGCUACAAGUGAAUAUUUGCGACAAGAAAUGAAUCCAAAUUUUAGGAUGACGGAACCCUUUAAUCCAGUCCAUAUAAUGUCCUUUUCGGGAGCUAGGGGAAAUGCAUCUCAAGUACACCAAUUAGUAGGUAUGAGAGGAUUAAUGUCGGAUCCACAAGGACAAAUGAUUGAUUUACCCAUUCAAAGCAAUCUACGGGAAGGAUUGUCUUUAACAGAAUAUAUCAUUUCUUGCUAUGGAGCCCGAAAAGGAGUUGUGGAUACUGUUGUACGAACAUCAGAUGCUGGAUAUCUUACGCGC
rnacentral:lncRNA from 1 species